rnacentral:lncRNA from 1 species
UACAUGUGCUAGUCUAAUAUUCAUGUGUGUCCUCACAUGAACUCCGACUAGGGACAAUUUUAGAAUAACCAUACAAGUAAAGAGUUUCACAUACAAUUCACAUAAUUGCAAAUUAAUUCAAGUAGCCUUUAAUGGAUAUUCAAUGAACACAAUAUACAAAUCAUGGAUACAAAUGGAAUAUCAUCAUCUCUAUGAUUGCCUCUAGGGCAUACCUCCAACACAAAUUUCAAAAACUAGCCAAAGAAAGAAGCUAAGAAUUUAAAGAAAUGCUAGUUACCAACCUUAAAAUAAAAUGUUAACGUGUAUCCUUGAAAAAUGGAAGUUUUCUUGAGCAAUUGGAAGAAAAAUGACUGCAACAAUGGAGGAAGGAGAGGAGGCCAUAGAGUAGAAGGAGGAGGGGAGGAAGGGGGUUUUGUACUAUUGAGGGCUAUCACUGCCGGCCCUUAUUACGAGCCGGCGGUGAAGAUAGAUAUCACCGCCAGCCCUGUUAAAGAACCGACGGUGAUACCUUCACCGCCGGUUUUAACCACGAGCUAGUGGUGAAGGGGGCAUCACUGCCGGUUCUCUGCUCUAACACACACUCCCACGCGUAGCUGUUUGAGCCGGCGGUGAAGAUCCAUCAUUGCCGGCCCACCCAAAACCGGUGGUGAUGGGCCGGCAAUGAUGGUACAUUCUGUAGUAGUGGUUGUCUACAUUGAUCGCUCGGAAGCCUACAGAACUACAAACUUUACUUUGUGACGGGGAAGCAUACAGUAACGAGGUCAUAUGAUCCUUCUGUUCCAAUCAAAUUGCAGGUAAAACCCCGUGAAGUCUAAUUCCACGAUAAAAGAGCUCUGUUUCCCCAACUCUUUCUUACAGAAUUGCUCAUCACUACUACAUUUCAAAACUUUGGUUAAUUUUUUAAUUAUUAUAUAUGUUGAUUUUCGCAGUACAGGUAAUUUGGGUCCAUCCGGACAAGGGGUUUAUUAUUACCCCUCCGAUCCAUUGAGCAAUGGUCCCGCGGUCCUACCUAAAAAGGCAGCAUGCUUGUACGAAUAUUGACCGAUUGGGUGCCAUCCUAUGUUUCCAUAGCCAGAGCCCUGCUGGUUUUCACAUAGAUUGCCUUGUUGUUUACAGGUACCCAUAGCACUGUAGUGUGCACAUUUUAAUAUGUGUUUUGGUAAGAUUACAAAUUAAGCUAUUCGAACACAAAAGGGGCACUCUGGGAUUAUUGCAUGCGUGGUACCUCACAUGGGCCAUGAUACGCGUCGUUUCACUAUUGCAUAGGAUUUCCUGUAGCAUGGUGAGUACAUGGCAAUAAUUCACGAACAAAGGAACACAGUUCUGCUAGCAAGGUGAGUACAUGGCAAUAAUUCCAAAUGUCAACAAAAUGAAAGGUUUAUGAAUUGGGUGUAGUUUAGUUUGUAGGUUACUUGUGGUGGACAACAUAACUACUUGGGUUUGAGUCUCCAACUUAGCACUGGUGCUCACUUUUUCGACUAUUUUCUCUUCUAGUGCUAGGUGAUGUACCUGUCAAUCAUCCAUGAUGACAGUUCACAACCUUCAACCAUUAAUAAGGAAGCCAAGAAGUCAAAUAUUUCUCAAAAAAGUGAAAUGAUAGAAUUGACUUUUCCCACAGCCACUAUUUGGACGAGUGAAUGAAACUAAGCGCAUAGCCAAUUAAGGCCAUUCUCAAUGCAAGUGUCAUAUGAGUUUCAUUCUCAUUAAAUGGCUACCACAUAUGCAAAAGUGAUAACAUGACAUACAAUUUAUGAGGAAAGAGAAGAAUAGAGUUUCACGGGGAUGAAACUUGGUGUACUCGGUUACCAAAACCUUGAAACUAAGAUGAAACUCCAUUGAGAGGAUUUGAGUUUCAUCUACACACAUUCAUCAACUCCUAUUGGUCACUUAUAUGGAACAUUUAAAUGAGGUGCUAACAUAUGAAACUGUGAAACAAAACUUUACAUUGAGAGACCUAGUUUCAUACAUCAACUCAAUGAUCAAUAGAUGACAUGGCACUCUUGGAAAUCACGCGAUGAAACCUUACACCGAGAAUGGCCUAAUAGACAUCCAUCCACGACUAGCAAAGAUUUUCAUGACCGUUCCCCCCCCCCCCCCAAAGUACGGCACCCAACCUUCAUGUUUGCCUAAUUAACCUCCAAUUAUAGCGAGGACCAUAAGCACGUCCAAUGUGUUGCCUUGACAUAAUGCUAUUUUUCACGUAAUGAUUCAUUGUUUCGAUGGCAUUCACAUGACAUCUUUUGGUAGUAUUUUCUGAAAAUGAUGUUAUUCAGUGUUUCGAAUUACUACUUCUAUACCUACUUCCAUUUAGGUUUAAUCAAAUUAUCCUUUGUUAAAAUCACUUCAAUUACUGAAGAUUAUCCUCUACUACCUCAGGCCUAAUUUAUUUGUGAAAGACAAGCUCUGUGCUAUAUCUUGACCAACACUUAGUCAAAUUGUAAAGUAUGUUACUCUGUUAAGUGUUUAAAAGUUAUACGCUCAUAUCCGAAAAUGCUUUCAUACUAUAUUAGUUUUGUAUGCAACUAUAAAAUGAGUAAUGUACACUAUGAGAAAACAGUGGUCGAAGCUUUGAAGACCGAGGGGAAACUAAAAAUGUCUUGUAUUGUUGAAAGGAUGGAGUAAUUCAGAAGUUUUUAUAUAUGCACAUUCAUGUCAGCUCAGCCGCACUGCCCUGCCAAAGUUAUAUGUAUGCUGCUUUCUCAUGCUUUGCACUGCCAUCUAUAGGUUGGAUUUUGGACUCUGUAGCCAUUGCUGAUAUCGUUAUGGGAUCAACAAAAAGACUGGGCUGUGGCGUUUGCAAAUUGCAUUAGACAGGUUAGAAGAAAAUCUAAUAAGACCAUCAUAAUUCUUGCUUGGAAAACUGUCCCACCUGGAGGCCCGUCAAGCGUCAAGGGCUUGGGUAAAGUUCCUAAAUGUGUCUAACCUGGAGGCCCAUCAAGGUUUUGGGGCCUCCAAGAAAGGAAAUUUACGUCUGUCUAAGCUGGAGGCCCAUAGGCCUCUCGAACGAAAAGUAAGAAAAAUAUGCCUACGUCUGGAAGGCCCAGUAAUAUUCAGGUCAAUGAGCCCACCGAAACGGGUAAAGCUUGAUUUGAGAACUUUAUGCCAUUUUGAGUUACAUUGUUCAUACGUAAAGGGCCCUGUUCGGGGAGGUAAAGCCCCUGUUCUCUCUAUAUAGAUUGAGAAAUACAUUGUUGAUCUAUUUUUGGAAGAGAUAGUUUCUAUCAAAAUCAUCCAAAACUUUUUCGAACUUGAAGCACAUCAGCAGUUGGUACGAGAUACUUCUUCUUUUGUUUCUAGACAUUUAGCCCUUUUAUUAAGCACCUUUUGGUACACGAGCAGUUUCUGCUAGUUACAGGUAUUUUCUCAGAAGAGACACACCUCACUCAAGUGGGAAUAGAAAAAAAAAAGAAUGCAGGUGAAUCAGCCAAAGAAUACAGUGAUCUUGCACAGCCAUACACGCACAAGUACAUAGCGUACAUACAAGUUACAACCAAGCUAUGCUAUCACGUCCCGGUCCAAAACAAUCAAUCAAUCUACAAACUCCACACCACAGGAGCGAUAUGAUCAGGCGACCCUGCAGUUGCCCCUGAUCUUGCCGCUGCUUCCGGUGAGCACGCCGACGGAUCCCAUCUUCACCAUGGCGGCGGCGAAGUCGCUCUGGAACGUGGCCGGGUCGUUGGCGUAGGUGACGACCUGCACGGCCGUGUUCUUGUCGCUGAGCAGCGCCUGGUCCGAGGACAGCAGGCCGCGGUUGGCCAUGACGCCCUUGUAGAACCCCUCGUCGAAGGCGUUGGGGGAGACGUAGUCCAUAGGCACCAGCGGGUCCCCUCCCUGCGGGCACUGCCUCGCCAGCUGCGCCACGUAGGCCGGGUCCAUGGUGGGGUCCUGCCCCGCCGUGGUGCCCGACCGCGACAGCCGGCUGCUGAAGGAGCUGCAGUGCGAGGAGCCGAUGGUGUGCGCGCCCGAGAGCACCACCAUGUCCUUCUGCGUUAGGCCCUUGGUGCCGAAGAUCUGCGUCAGCUGCGCCACGUUCGCCGUCGGCGGCGGCAGGUUGCCGCCCGUGUCCGACGCGCGCGACACGGCGCCGUCCCGGCGGCCCGCCGGCACCUGGUACGCGUUCCCGCCGGCCUGCACGCACGGACCCACAAGCAAAGCAAGCAUGAGUACCACGGAUGAUUCCUAAGGAAGGGACGCGACAAUGGCGUGCGUGCUAAGCGUGGUGCGGUUGGACCCAUACAGGCAUCGAGUUCUUUCUGGCGUGCGGGCAGCUGCCUCUGCCUGCGCCCUGCGCGCCGCGGCGGCAUCAUUUGGGCCAUGUUUAGUUACUUCCAACUCCCAACUUUGACACUAUGCAAAAAGAAGAUUCCCCAUCACAUCAAACUUGCGGUACAUGCAUGGAGUACUAAAUGUAGAUGAAAUUAAAAACUAAUUGCACAGUUUUGUUGUACUUUGCGAGACGAAUCUUUUGAGCCUAAUUAGUCAAUAUUUGGACAAUAAUUCACAAAUACAAACGAAACGCUACAGUGUGCUACAGUGCUGUAACAGUAAUUUGGCACCUCCCAAAUUCCCCAACUAAACACGGCCUUGGUGGGGGCGCGCAAUGUGCCUCAGAAAAGUCGGGGACAGGGGUCAGAUUAACUUUUCUUUAUACUGUCUAAUCCUGCGUGCUAGAUUCCAAAUUCAUAUCGGCAUGUCUGGUUUUAAAAGUCUCGCCAUCACUGAAGCAGGGGGAGACCAGCACCGUCCACUGACAGUGACAAUACCAAAGCGCCAAGUUUAGUUUAGUAUUGACAAAUGCAGCUUUGCAGUGUACUCCCCCAAAGUGCGAGCUUAAACUAACGGGUGAAUCUAGGUUCAAACUCACCAGCGCAACGCUGUCCCUGGCGGCGAAGGCGAGUAUGUCCGCGCAGGAGACGACGCCGGAGCAGGCCUGCUCGACGCGCGCCUUGAUGCGGUCGACGACCUCGAAGCCCCGCAGGCUGGUGUUGGGCCCGGCGUCCUUCUCCGCCGUGUUGCCGGGGGUCGAGUCGAUCAGCACCGACGCGUCGCACCCCUGCAAUCGCAAGUCCGCAAACCGCUAGUUCAGCAAAGCAUCCACAGCUGUAGUGCUUUCUGCAGAUGGAAGAUGGACACUACUGACCUUGACGAAGCAGUCGUGGAAGUGGAGCCGGAGCAGGCCGGCGGCGAGGCCCGGGUUGGCGCCCACCGCCUUGCUCACCUCCUGCUGCACGAUGAUCUCCGCCGCCGGGCAGGAGUUGUCGUAGAACCCCACCCGCAGCUGCGCGCGGAGCCCCGUCGCCGUCAGAAGCACCACCACCGCCGCCACCUGAAAGUACAGUGCCAUCCUCUGCACCGCCAUGGCCGCUAUCCCUAUCAGGCGCGCCACUCGUUCUAACUCUUUAUGGCGCUGCUAGAAGGUACCUGCGCUUUUAUACUCGCACUGAGAGCAGGGAGGCACACACCAAUCAGUAGCUAUCUAUAUGCUUCUUGGUUAAGGAAGGCAAAGGCACCUAAGCACCGAGCUUGAGACUGGGAGCGAAGUGUGUGUAGUCUAAUCUAGUAUUUAACAAUGCGGAGGCCUGGAGGGUUUAGGGGAUCUCGAGCGUUGUGAUAGGGGCCGGACCAGCGAGUGUGCCAUAUGCCGGGCAUGUGCGGAGGGGAUAGGUUGGUAGAGAGCAGACAGCAGAGCUGUGGUGCCCCGCCAAUUGGGGCCGGGGAGGCGGGCUUUUCUUCCAUGAUUGGAGGGCGAAAGGCGAGAGACAAUGAGAUCUGCAGGGCUCCGAGGUGUUCUUUUACCUGCGGUACAUGGUGCGCCGGAAAGAUGGAUACUGUAGUGUAGAGCGCCGAGUUCUGAACUUCUGAUACUGCAUCUGCAUCCACGAGGUGUUUGGCAGGGACGCCAUUUGCGAUGAAGUCAUGGUCACAUCUUUGCAUAUUCAAAGGACUCGUCGUUGGUCUUGUACUUGAGUAGGUGGUGAUACAGGCCGACGUUGACAUGAUGGACUGUGAUAUUCGGCCUUCUUUUUUACAUUAUUAGGAUGUGCUGCUAUGACUGAAGAUCGACUGAAGUGUGACUUGUGUCUCGUUCAGUAACAUUUUCUUUUGAGGGCACUCGUUCAGUUACAGUUGGUGCGACCAGUAGUCUGAUGAAUCUGAGCUGGUAGUCCUAUUGUUCUAAAUUUCUAAUGAAGCGAUAAUUGUCGCCAUUAGUCUGAAUCCGAGCUGGUCCAUCCAACUGAUCUUAUAUGAAACGUAGAAUGGUCCAAUUCGCACCUUUCCACUGUUUCCAGUUUUGCGAUAUGUUUGUUUUCUGAAUGGACCGAAGCAUCAGAUACUCGAGGAAUAUCAAACCCUGGUUCCUGACAACUAUUCUCCAGGCACUGUAGCUGCAGAUGCUUCACAGCUUGAAAGAAUCCUGGGAGGAUAGGAUUUGCAGGGAAUGCAUGAUUGACCCCUCGCAUUGCCUGGUUCAUGAACGCUGGCUUGCUACUGAUCCGAAUGAUCUCUCUCAUGACGUUCACCGCCAAAGCAAAGAUGCUUCCGCUCAUUGCUCACAAUUGACAACGGGGCCGGAAAGGCUUGGUUUGGCUGGCAGGGCGGCGAUAAGUCAAGGAAGAUUCCUCGCCACAUUGCUGCCGAGCUGGAGCUUGUUUUAGCCGCUGGCGACGCCCAUGAGUUCAGAUUUCAGACUAGCUCCGGACUCCGGAGUGAUCGGUGUAAACGAAAAUCGGUGAGGUUUAGCCGCACUACAGAGAGAUAAUGCAGUUAUUGAGUCAAGUGGGAGUAAACUUUUGUCCGACAACAGGCGCUGAUCCAGGAUUAACGGCUAAACUAGCUACUGACCCUGGGUGCCAGGGCUAGUGGCGUCUGAACUCUGAACAGGCUCACUGAAUCACUGAAGCUGCACAUGGUGAUCGUGUUUGGUAGAGCUCAGGCCGUGACAAGAUCCGCCGGUGCUGAGGACCCCUGUCGUCUGGGUUUGACCUCUAGGUGAAGACAGGGAAUCAAUCGUUGCAAGGAGAUGGAUCAGAGGGAUCUGGUUCGCUGCAAUUAACAAUUCGGCGUAAGUGUAGUAUGUACUCCGGCCACACAUUCCUACUCUAUGCAGUGGCAGAAAUGGCACCAUUUGCGGCACGGUGAAUCCAAUGUCAGUUCAGCCACUCAUACAGCAGCAGCAGCAAAACCCGGAGAUCUCUAGCAGCUCUGUUGGUCCGGUCCAAAAGCAAUACGAACCGCGUCUGCUCGAAUUAUUGCUGUCAAGCUAGCUUGCAGCCUUGCUGUGUCCAUGGGGGUCCGGUAAUCUUCUUUCAGUACAGCUAGGGCUGCCUUUGAUCCAUGGCCAUCCCUCCCUUUUUUUUUUCUUCUUUCGAACUGAUUAUGACCAGCCUUUUCUUAUCUCUCCUUCCAGACUACCUUGCAACCUGGCAUCGGCUCGCUUUGUAUGCAGCGACAUUAAAGCCUCGCGGCCGGACCUCGCUUGUUGUAUGGACGGGACAGCCUGCGCGCUCGCUCGGCGCCUCGCACAUGGCAAAAGCGCGAACGCGCGUACGGGUGAUCUGGUCCGUCGGCCAAAGCGGCCGCCUGGCCUGUGGCCAGGAACAGCACUGGUUGUUGCUGGCUUUGGAAAACCACGAGCCUGAGCAUGCCUGUUCUUGUUCACACGGUUAUCCCGCGAACGAGAUGAUCAGCCGCAUCCGCCGCCGCCGCCGCCGAACUGUACAUGUGGGGCGCGAGAGGGAGAGCGUUCUUCGCGUAUGGAAGCGAACGGGCCCGUCUGUGUUUCGGUCCGUUCUUGCAACCUAUCUGGGCCAGUUUUAUUUAGGCCACAACGCAGGUCCAACCGCCCAACGAGUACCGUCGCGACUUCGCCAGCAGGGAAAAAGAGUAAAAUACACAAUCUUGUCCCGUGGUCUCAUCCCGAUCCUGAACUCUCAAAAUAUACUCAAAGUGUGUAUUCAGAUCUCCAAACUCAUCCUCAAAUUUCAUCCAGCUUCCUAAACUCUAAAAAUACAUUUUUAAAUCUUAAAAUUUGUCACCUGUCGCUGAUGGUAAUACUUCUCCUCGCUCGUUGCCUUCACAACCACCUUAUGCUAGUGUACUUUAAGAGUUUAAAAAUUUGGAUGACACCCUAUUGAGUUGAGAGGACCUAAAAAUAUAUUUUUAGAUGGCAUCUUAAGACAAGUUCAUUGGUCUGAAAAUGUAUUUUGAGAGUUCAGGAAUCUAACUGACACCCAUGACAAGUUUAGGUACCUUCCGUGUAUUUUACUCUAGCGAAAAAAGUGCGUCGUUCGGUGAAAAUACGUGGUUGAGAUUUUGAGUACAAAUACAUAUCCUUCUCUUUUUACUUUUUUCUAAGAAACAGAUGUCGUCACUGUUCACUCAUUUGUCAACCGUGAGUUUCUUGUUGGCACAUUGUUGACGGCUGUUAGCAUGCUAAUUUUUGAACUGCAAGCGUACGAAUCAGUUAUAGAUCUUCCCUCAGAGUAUUCCCCCAAGGUUUAUCAAUCUAUGAAACUUAUAGCACAAGAUCUAUUUCAACUAGCAUUGUUAGUAUUAACUUGGUGUUUAUGAGAGAUUCAAAUCCAAUCUACUAAGCAUGUACAGACAGAUAAUAGAUAGAGUAAAGGUAACUAAUCUAGAGCAACCUAGACUAUGCAUAUAUUGUAAUUCUGAGUAUGGAUAGGAAAGCAACAUAGAUAUGAUCUUAGUAAAAAGCAUCUUUAAAUCUACACCUCCGAUCCAGAUCCCGAAACCCCCUACCUUACACAAGAAAGAUCCUGUCACGAUCACCUCUAUCAGCGCAAGCAGGUUAAGGGCAUGAUCAUAAGAACAUGUCAUACUCAUUGGUAGAUCAGGCAUGCAAAUCUGGUCACCAUGACCAUAAGAACACCCUAGGCAAUCUAUCAUCGAUUCAUAGAUUGAAAACUAAGCAAACCUGAUAAAGCAUAAAACCAUCAAAGGAGAUACUUAGAUCGCUAAGAACAUGAACACAUCUAUUAUUUCACCAUGAAUGAUUGUAUAUCACAAGAUCACCACCGGGAUCCUACCUUGAGCUUGAUGACUUCUAGCUCCAGAACUCCAGCAUAAUCUUCCUCGCAGGGUGAUCACGCCGGCAGAGGUUCGCCUACGCUAACCCCCGACAAUUACACGGCCGUUGGCUCUCCAGAGAGGUGUCCCUCAAGCUCCUUCUGCUUCUCUGCUGCUUCAUGUCGAGUAUGGCGUCUUGGAUAUGGGGCUCGGUGGAUUUUUCGAGGUAUCUAUAGUUUAGAGAGCGCGUGGCAAAAAUUGGAAGGCGAGAAGAUGAAGGAAACCCCCAGGUUGAUCGAUCUGAGAGGGUCCAGGUUGAUCGGCCUAUGCCUUCCUUUUAGCCCCUCGCAUCCUACUUCGUCUCCAAGGCUUCUCAGGUGCUCUGGAAUCUUCUUUUCACUUGCAUGUAGGCCUGGCACGUCAAUUGCUUCGGGAUGAGAUUGAUCUUCAAUGACUUUCCAAACCUUCGCUUGAUCUUUUCCGAUUCCUCUUUGAUCCCAAGCUGGUCCUUGCUAUAUCUUCAUAAACUUAUCCCCUAAGCAAUGUUGAAGGGUUGCUUGCCAAAGAUGGGCACCAGGGGUGCCAGAAGAUGCCAAGCCGAUCGGCCUGGGCUCCUCUAGGCCGAUCGGCCUAGCCCCUUCCUGGGCCUGUUGACCUUCAUCUUUGUCUGUUUCGAUGCUUGUUCAGUGCUUUAUCCAAAAAUAUGCUUUUAGGCCUAAUUUCUUGCAAAAACACAACAUCCUCCAAAAUACAUUACACAUGUGAAGAUGACCGGUUUAUUAGGUGUAAUCAAUAGUUUAGGUAUUAAAUUCAUGUCAUUAUUGAAAAUAAAUAGAGGUAAAAGUGUGUCAAUAAUGAGAGUCAACACAUAUCCUUGAUUAUUAAAAGCAUGACUAUGCAGAUGUAGAGGAUACACCCAAAUUAUCAAUACGUGCAAAAAGAUGAAAUUUUGUUAUGUGUCCAAAAUAGCAAUGACAGAAAAAGAAAGAGAUCAUACAAAAAAGGAAUCCAAUCGUACAUUCCGUGAGCCACUUGUGAUCGAUCACGUCCGGACCCUCCUGUAGUUGACUCGGACCUUGCCAAGGUAGCUGUUGUGGAUGUCGCCCUAAAGCACCUAGGCGUCAUCUAGGCCCUUUUGCACCUUUGGUAAGGGUGUGUUUUGGUGAUAAAUAACAACCGUUUACUUAUGACUAACCCAUAUGUUUUGAAGAGAAUCUAUAUUGGUUAUCAUGUCAUAAGUUUAUUAGAAUAUGGCCCCUCAAUUGGAAUUGGAAAGCGGACAUGGAGCUAAUGCAACAAGGCAAAUGACCUUUUUAGUACUAUGUGUCACAAGGAGAUGAAGGACACUUAGUGUAGCAUAGGUUUUACUAGUUUGUAGCUCAUAGACUGUACUAUCGAGUGGGGUUUCCAUGAUAAUAUCUUGACCUUGCAAGGCUAGCCAUGAAUAUGAUGCAUACUCAGUAUACUUUGACACUUGGUAGCUUAAAUAACUCAUGGAAGAACUCAAGAAGCAAAGAAAUCGAUGAAAAACUCAAAGGAGAUUGAAUUGGAUGAGUUGAAAAGAAAAGGAGCACUACAAGGUUUUGCCUCUAAUGCCACGCCACAUGAUUGCAACACCACUAAUUUGGUUGCCAUAGGUGGGUCAUAUUGCAACCUUUCCAUAAAGUGGUUGCAAUAUGUGCCUAUGGACUAAAUGUGUUGCAAUAUGUGUGGUUUGUCGUUGCAACAGGCAUGUGCUACUACAACCAUUUAAGAAUUGUGUUGCAAUUAGUUGGCAUUAUUGCCAUGGCACUUUUGAGUUGAAUUAAUAUUGAUUUUCGUUGCAAUUACUUGGAUUUGGUUGUUUUUGCUUGUAACUAUUGCCAUGGUUGUUCUAGGUUGCAAUAAUCUUCCAAUGGUGUUGCAAUUGCUAGGGUGGUUAUUGCAACAAGAAUUCUGAAUGGAUGCAAUAGCAUGUUCUAUUGCCACAGCUUUCUGGGGUUGUAAUAAUCUUCUAUGGCAUUGCAAUCGUUAGAUACUUAUUGCAACUACAAUCCUAAAUGGACGCAAUAUCAUGUUAAUAUUGCCAUGAUUUUUUUUGUGUUGCUAUAGACUACCCCUGAUGCAACGGCCUAAAAGUGUUGCAAUAUAGAAAAAAAUGGUUGCAAUAGACAAAAUGCUCCACACAUUAGACUACCCUUGAUGUAACGGCCUAAAACUGUUGCAAUAUACCAAAAAUAGUUGCAAUAGACAAAAUACUUCACGCAUUUCUGAAUAAGAUCUUCUAUUAACAAAAAAAAUGCUCCACGCAGGAUUUGAUCCCAGGAACUAUAAUACAAGCAAACCCUCAUGUACCACUGGGGUACUGAGGUGUGUUCGACAUUAAGCAGCCUUUAUAUUACUUGUUUACAUGAUGAAGAUGGCUAAUUCACUUCAUUUUUCAACAAGGACGAUCACCAUCCGCAUCUUCCAUGACAAUUUCAGAAAACAAAAAAAAUUGUCUAGCUUGCUGAUAUUUUUGCUUAUAAUAGGAAAUAAACAUGAGCAUAAUAGUUUGAAGACCAACUGCAGCUAUUUAUUAUCCCGGACAAUGUGAUAGUUUUCAACAAAAAAUCCAAAAAAACAUGAUUGUUGAACAAAGGAUAAGUAUUUAAACAAAGAAAUCAUCUUCUAGGCUUUCUACCACAACUGGUGCAACAACUCCAUCAUCAAUGUAGGUGUCAUCUUCGUCAUCAUCAUCCUUAUCAAGUAAAAUCGCAUCAUCUGGUUCGAGAACUGCUUCGCCACGCACCGGAUCAAUAACAAAGGCAUCACCAGUUGUUCCUUCCUUGUCUGGUCUUGUCCAAUUUGACAAAUCCUCAUUUGGGCCUAAUAAAUUCAUGUCUUGGAUUUCCACAUCAAGUAGAUCGACUUUUUGUGCGGCCGGCACAUCAUACCAAUCACACUGAAACAAUACAACUUCUUUUUGUGCAGGGAACUCGUGUGAGAUCAUUCUUCUAAUCACUCCAUACCACGUCAUGUUGCCAGUAGUACCAUCACCCCUCACAAGCACACCACUGUUUUGUGUGACGAGGUUUCUCUCAAUGGUAGUCAUUCGAAAUAGCCAUUUAUUGAUGUAGCAUCUAUUGAACACAUGAGCUCGAUGGUCCGGUCCUUGAGAAAGGGCAUACAUCAGUUCACUCACUUCCCCUUUCUCAUAUAGUUUGGUGAUCUGCAAACACAGUUUGAAAACAAAUGGCAGUUAAUAAGUACAUCAUUCUAAACAUCACAUGGAAUAAAAAAAUUAAAAAAAUAGAACUAACCUUGCCCUCGAACCACCUUACAAAGUGCUCCUCGUGUCGUUUAUUAAGAUUCCUUAUACUAUUUUUUUUAGUUCUUCCAUAUGCUCGCUGCAUCGAAAUAGCCAAUUAAUUAAUUAGUUGAUGCUAGAAACAAAAGGUAGAGUAAUUAAUGAUCUAGCUUCAUCGCAGUUACAUUUAUAGUUUACACUUGUGACCUAUUGUCUGCAGGUGCAUAUGGCAGCCCUACAAAUCAGAUAGAUUUACUAGAUUCAAGUCAAGAUAGCAAUCCAACACCACCUCUGAACAAACCAUCACAUGCACGAUGUGAGAAAACUCAGGGAGAUAGUAAGUGAUGCUUAUUGUGAUUUUAUUUUGAUGUUCAAUUCAGUUUUCCCUAUGUACAUGAUUUUGUUUAAUCUCUUGCACCGUGUAUUGUUUCGAUGGACAAGACUCCCAAAAGAGGAAGGCACGAGGUACUGUGAAAGGAUUGGCAGCCACCCACAAGAGAUCCAAGUAGGGCAGUUAGAAGCUUAAAGUCCAAUUCUCUAGACUUGGAGGAGCUGUAGGUGAGAACACACGCACAUUUACUGAUGAAAUAGUAGUGUACACAAGGAGAAAAGCACCAUUCAUUGGGGUGAGAACAUGGAAGGAUAUCCGUAAAGAUGUAAAAAAUUCAAUAGUAUCUGAUAUGAUGGUAAGUUUCUGAUUUAUUUUUGCUAGCAUACAGAAUUUUGUUACCAAAUUAUUUAAGAAGUGACCUAGAAUUUAUGUUUUACAUGUUGAAGAGCAUAAGUGGGACAUUGAGAAUAAUGAAGAAAACAGGAAAAAGAUAUGGACCAUCGCUAAUGAGCGUUACAAAGGAUGGCGAGCAACAUUUAGUGCUACGUACAGGGCGUACACCACCUAUGAGGAGAGAAUAAGACAUAAGCCAGAAGAGUUGGACAUUGUUGAAUGGCACUAUCUGGUUUUGUAUUUUGGCAAGGAACAUUUUCAGGUUUGAUGACCUUUACUUUAUUCUUGCCAUUUGCACUUAAUGAAAUAAAGGCUAUGUUUUGGUAGAUUGCAAUAUUUUUUUAGAAUCAACUCCUUGUGCAGAGGGUUAGUUGCAAGAAUUCUCAGAAUCGGCAGAAUGUAAAGGUACACCAUCGGGCAAGAUCAAAGACGUUUUCUCAGUGUAGCUUUGAGAAGGUAAUAACUUCAGAAGCACAUGACCAUGCUUCCUUACAUUUUGAAAUAUCACUAAUUUGUUACAUUCUGCCAAAUUAGAGGGACCCAAUAAUUGGUGAUGAGCCAAAUGAUUUGGAGCUUUUUAUGUUCACACAUAGUAAGAAUGGGCAAUGGACAAGCCAAGAAUCUAGAGAUGUCUAUGUGAGUGUAUAACAAUUUGUACAAACCUUAUUAACUGAUGCAAAGUGACCGCCUACAAAAUCAUUUUCAAUUAACUACUUCAACUGUCCUCCUUUGUUAGGAUAAUGCAAGCAGCAAAAUUUCGGAGAGGGAAACAGAUGGAGAUGCAAUCAUCAUCUCAGAUGUGGAGCAAAAUCAGAUUUUCCAGUCAGCCUACCAGGAAACAAGAAACUGCAAAUCAACCAGGAUCUAUGCUAAUGGAUACAUGGCAAAAUACCCAACUAGAAGGCAACUACUGUAUGAGGAUUACUAGUACCAAGUGCGUCAGGACGCGACACUAGUCGAAGCAUUUUCAAAGCUACAAGAGAGAUUAGAAUCUCAAGAAGCUGAAAGGGAAGCUGAAAGGGAAGAACAUAAGCGUCAAAUGGAAGAAAUGAUGAAGGCAAGGGAGGCCGAUAGAGAAGCACUUAGGCAAGAGUUUAUGUCAAUGAUGCAAGCAGCACAUGUACAAGCAUCAAUACAACAGGUAAUAGUAAUGUCAAAUCUUAACUUGACCAAUAGAUUUAGUUAAUGUGUUUAUCUAUCUCUAGGACCUAUACAUGCCCGCUGGUUUAAUCUUUGAUAGUUUGUUUAACUGAAAUCAUAUGCUCGGGUAGUCGGCUACAAAUCAUGCAUCAUUUUUGUAGUUUCAAACUCCACUCAUGAUUUUUCUGACCAAAAUUGAAAUGCAGGCUAACAAAGAUGGGGGACAAAAUGCAGAGGUUGUUGCUACAACAAACAUGGAUGAAGAAAAUGUAACUAUAGAAAGUGAAGAAAUAUCACAUUAGCAGGUAGUUUGAGAACUGAAGAGUGUUUAAUGUUGUCAUGUGAUAGUCCUUGGUAUGAGGCCUAAUUUUCCCUCCAUCUAUUGAUUUGCAAGAAAACCAAGAUAGCAUCCCACCACAAAUACAACUCGUAGCUACAACAGCGGCAGGUACAAGUACUGCUCACACAACUAGAAAUAGUGCUGUGAAUAAGACACAAACUGGCCAAAACAAAGGAGGGGAUACGACAGUUAGUUUUACUACAACAAAAGUACUGAAGGAUAUUGUGGGUAAUAAGAAACGAGCAUUAGCCAAAAGGAAUCAACAUGCUAGCAAAGCACAGGUGAUUUUUGACUCCACUACCUGUGAAUAUUUCUGAAUCAGAUUUAGUUGUCUAAUUGCUGUUACUGUAAAGUGAAAUGAUACUUAGCUGAAUACUAAGUUGUUGUUUGCUGAAUAUACCAAUGCUAAUGAUUUUUUCAGGAGCAAGAUAGAGUUUGAGUGGAGCACACAAUUGAUGGACGGUCAAUGUCAAGCCAACCUUUGCUACAAUGCUAGACAUAGCUUAGUCCAUUUUGAUGUUCAAAUUAGCUAGUGUGAGUUGGAUACCUUAUGUGUUUCAAUAGUUGUGCGUGUGUUAUCGACUAAGUUUGACAUUGGAUGGUUUCAUAAAUGAUUUGUACGGACAAAGCACAUUUUGGAUUAAUGGAUGUCUAAAUGCUUCUUUCAUCAUAUAUUGUUCGGCAUGCAAUUAUUGUUUGAUGCAAACAAAGCGUUGCAAUAUGGACUAUCGACAAAAUAAUUUGGCGUUGCAAUAUAUGAUAUAGCAACAAACAAAUGGUGUUGCAAAAAACAUCAUACCAACGGAAACAUCAUACCAACGGAAUAGUGGGCGUGGCAAUAGAGUCUCCAAAUUGUAGCAACACAAUAGUUAGCGUGGCAAUAGAGGGUCCAACAAUAGCAACCCGUAUUGAUCGUUGCAAUAGAGAGGCAACCUCUAGAAACCAAACAUUUACUGUGGCAAUAGAAGGAUGCACCUAUAGCAACCACAAUAUUUAAUGUGGCAAUAGAGAGGCUACCUCUAGCAACCAAAUAUUUAUCGUGGCAAUAGAGGGUUCCACCUAUAGCAACCACUGAGAUAGCGUGGCAAUAGAGGGUCCAUCUAUUGCAAUGCUAUUGAUGUGUGGCAAUAAGGUCUAUUGCAACACCAAAUAUCGUUGCUAGUGCACCUAUUGCCACACUUUGGGUACGUGGCAAUAGGUAUUUCUGGCAACACUAGGUGUGUUGCAAUAGUAACUAUUGCAACACCCAUGAUGGUUGCUUAGACUAUGGCUUGCAACACUACAUGGUGUUGCAACAACACUCCUUUGUGUUGCAAUAGGGGAAAAUCUAUUGCAACACCAAAAUGAGUCGUUGGGCAAACUUUUCCCCACGGUUACUAUGGCAACGCCUGCCAAUGGAAAUUUUCCGUUGCCAUUUUGUCUCUCGCAACGAUUUUUGGUAUAUUGCCACACUUUUAGGCCGUUGCAUCAGGGGUAAAACCUUGUAGUAGAGACCGUCGGAUAUUCCGAUGCUAUGAUUUCUAGUAGUGUCGGAGCAAUUUUUUGGAGCUGAAAACUCAAGUGAGCCAUCAGCUGUUCCGAUGGCUAGGCAUCGGAUGAAUGGGUCGCAGGCAACGGAUGUUCCGAUGCCCUGGAUGAAGACUCAUCGGAGCAAGCAUUUUUCAAUUCAAACUUCCAAAGAGGUUUUGGCAAAAAAUACCUUUAGCACCGAAUACUCCGAUGCCUACUAAGUGACCAUCGGAUGAAUGUGUCAAAGCAAGCAUAUUUUUUUUUAUUCCUUCCAAAGAGGUUUUGGCCAGAACGUGUUCAGCACCGGAUAAUCCAACGCCCCAUGAAGAACCAUCGGAGUAACCAUCGGAUGAACUUUUCACUGUUACUUUUCCAACGGCUAGAAUUUGGAUCUGUGAGUGACCGGAUGUUUGUGGCGGAACUGCCCAAAUUAACCUGACUAAAAUGCACUUAAGUCGUCUGACACACGAUCAUGCACUUUAAGCAGGUCAACUUGGUCGACCGUCGGAUUUCAUCCGAUAAACCACUUACACAGGAUCGAGAAGCAUUGCUCACACGAAGGUGAGUAGCACAGAGAUUACAACAUUCCCAUCACAUUAAUGUAGUUCAACAAAUUAUUACAUCAGAGUUUUUUGAAAUUCAACAAGUUUGCAAGGUUCGACCAGAUGAAGUAAAACAAGCGGAAGCCAAAUGUCGAUACACGAUAUCAUGACGAAGCCGAUCAUGACAUCAAUAAUCCCUGCCCUCGCCGUCCGAGGAGGGAUCCCACUCGACUGUCCAGCCCGGAGGGAGCUGGGUAGGCCAAGUAGUGCCAGCAGCCAAACUAUUAACAUCACCUGAAAAGUUAAGCCACAACAAGGCUGAGCAACUAAUACUCAGCAAGACUGACCCGCCGGGUGAUAACUAUUUUCACCAAAACCUAGACAUGCAAGGCUUUCUGACUUUGGGUUUGCUUUGCCAAAAGCGUCUAUAGUCGGUCCUUACUUUCAAUAUUUUAGCUCAAGUUCUAUGUUCUUUAACAAGUCUAGAUUAACAACUUAUACUAAGCAAGCAUAGUUUCCAAGCAAUUAAAGAACAAGCAUCAAGAUUAAUAUCAUCAUCAUGUUCCAUCUUUACUCAGUGCAGAAUAGCGAUCAAGUAGUCCCAAACUGUGAGAGGUAGACGAAUCGAUUCAAAUUUAUUAACCAUGCAUGGCAAACCUAAUCUCACGACAUCCGCACACCACGAGGGGUCACUUCAUUUGUCAGCCGUCCCCAUCGAUCCCUUAGGCACGUGUUAGGGCCAACUGCCUUUGGCAUGCAAUGCUCCAUAAUCCCGGCCUCUGUCGUACUAUGACCGCACUUGCACCCACAUGAUGCACCAUGGGAACGACGUUCCAAGGACAGCCGAGGGAGUAUGACACGCCCCAGUUCAAUCAGGUACUAGGCUUCCCCAUCCCAUACUAGGUAUGAGAUUAGUACUUUCAAACACUUGAUCACGAAAGCCGACACGUUUCGACCUUAGUCCAAAUUCAUUUAGACAGACGGGGCAAACCACCAAGUAUCGAACAUAAGCCCGACCCCGUCCGUCGUCCUUAUAGUUGCAACAUAAAUAAAACAUUCAACUCCUAUAACUCGUGAGUGACAGGAAAUCACUCGACUUUUACCGGGACCUAUUAAGCAUUGCAACUACUCGACCUUAGCAACUAGUAUUCAGAUCAAGGUACUAAGUUCAUGCAUCUACGAUUUCAAUCAACUCCUACAAACGUAAAUGCACAAUCAUAAGCAUCAACAGUUGGCAUAAAUUUAAAACAUGGAAUUCAUGCACCGGGGCUUGCCUGGAAUCCACACUAGGUUAGUGUUUGUUAGAUGACACUCGCUUGGCGAGCAUCUCUCAUCUCGGCACUUGUUUAGUCCUUCCAUCUUCGGGAUAGCUCCACCAUACACCGUCUUCGGGUUCGAUUCCAUCAUCAUGUCCUUCAUGUGGUUUAUCUAACGUAUCUAGGUGAGAUGCAAGAUGCAAGAGCAUGAAUAUGAAGAACGAUAAAAUGAGAUGCAUUACACAAAAGCAUUUAAGGCGAACAUAAGAUCAUGCAAGUCAUAGGUACCUAGAGUUAUUUAACUGUACACCACACCACUUAUUAUACAUGGAUAACAAGUACAUUAGGCAUGGCCACAAGUGAACUUAAGUCAAGCUAUUGCAAGCAAUUAACAGUCAAGAGCUAAUUAAGCCUAGCAUCAUACACGAACUAGGGUGAUGGUGCUUAUCAACAUGGCAUACAUAAGAGCAUCACACAACCAGCAAGUUGAAGGUGAUCAAAGUAUAUUACAUUUGUUUUAAAACCACUCAUACACAAGCAAGUCACGCACCAACAUCGCUAAGGUUCUUGCAAGCUAUGCAGCAAGGUUAUUUUGUAGCAACAUGCAUACAUGACCAUUUAUUAGUUAAGUGCUUGACCAACAUUAUAUAACAUAUUUAUAAGAUUCUCAGUUAGAUCAAGUUAACUCUAACAGUGAUAUGAGCUAACUAGCCAGCACACAAGGCAACAUCAAGUUAAAGCUAAUAACUUAAGCACAUACACCGAAUCUGGACAGCAGCACAACAGUCACUUGUUUGAGCUAUAACUAGAGAUAUAAGCAUACAACAAAGGUGACCCAGACUUUCUAUAAAUUUAAGGAAAUUAUCUAAAACUUUGUUAUUAACACCAAAAGCUGAUUCAACAAAUAAGAAGGUGAGAACACACCAUUAGGCAGAUCUAUACAAACAAAGAUAGAAAACUGACAUGCAACUUCGGACAGCAAUAAGUUGAGUUCUAGUUUUUACAACAAGGUGGUUCUAGACUUUUUCGAAAGGUUAAAAAACCAUGCACAACUUUAUUGUAAACACCACAAGCUAAAACCAAAGUUAACCAGGUCAAGCAUCACAAAGAAGACAUCUCUAUCCAGAUUAGGACACAUUCUGUUGUUCCACUUCACAACCUCAUAACUGGAGAUUUAAACCACCAAAAGGGGUGAUCUUUAAUAAUUUGGAAAUCUCAUGAAAAACCCUAAAAUUCUUAUAUUAUCUCCAAGACAUGAUUCAAAGCUUAGCUAAGUGAAACAAUGCAAUCAUUCAGACCUAUACAUAGAGCAUGCAAAACCUGACAAUGAACUUGUAAAAUCUAUGGCGCCUAAACCAUCAGGCUUAUGGUCAUGGAAAUUUAACAUAAGCUAUAUUAUGAAGUUACCUACAACUUUUGUAUUCACCAUAUUUACAUAAAACAUCAUUUGCAUCCCGAAAAUAUUGCCACAACAUAACUGCUCUAGCAACCAUUUCAGCACAUAUGCAACAAGGUUCUUCAUUUAGUUUUUUUUCAACAAGGUAACACAUGCAUAAGUUAAACACAUAUCUCACAAGUACUAUAAACAUAAUUAAUUAGCAUUAGCUUUAGAUAACAUGGAACAUCAUAAACACCUUAAGCAAGAAUUACGCAGGAUGAAGAACUUAUACAAGCAACAUAAUCAUUAGUUGUUAUGUUAACAUGAGAGCAUACAUCUGAGUUAUAUUCAAAUCUUAACCACUACUUAUUAUAACUUAGCAUCAUAUGUACCCCUCAAAAAUAACUAUUAAAAGCUUCACAUGACCUAAGUAUAUGCAUCUACUACCAAACUUUCAUUGUCCAAAUAUAUAUUAAACAUAUAUAUUAAUUAUAGGUGAUGUGGCAAACAUCUCAUUUGGAGCUAAUAAUUUUAUGGAUGAUAGAUGUUAUCAAAACAUGGCUACUGUACAAAUUUCACAUGCUCAGAGUUUAUAAUUUAAUUGCUAUGAAAAAGACAAAUUGCUCUUGCAAGAAAGCAUGUAAAAACAAAAUAAAUCUAAAGAUCAUCAUUUCUAUAAACACAUAGCCAUAUUAUAUGUUAUUGUGGUAUAAAAACAUCAUACAAAGGUAAUGAAACCACAUUUCCGAUUUUUACACCUACAUAAAAUUAUAACUUAUUUAAAGCCAUUAUGAAGCAAUAAACAAGUUAAAUCAAUAAGUCAAUUACACUGCAUCUAAUGAAUAUGAAAUUUUUAGCACAGAACAAUAGCAUCAUUUAUAGCCUACCAUAAAAAUUUCACAGCAAUUUAAGCACCAAAACUUUAGAUAUGAAAAUGACAAGCAAAACAAGCUAAAAAUUGCCUAUUUAUCCAGAUUAAAUCAAAACAUGAUAAAAACAGUACACAACUAGCAGGUUCAAUAUUUUUCUUAGCUAGAUAGUGUUAUCACAAGACUAACACAAUUGGAAUCACAAUCUUUGGACUUCUAUAACUCAAGAUGUGCAUCUAACAACUUAAAACGAUUUCUAAAAGUACUUUGAAAGAAUAAAUAAAAACAUCAGAAACUUUCUACUAAACAUAUCAUAUUAUGACUCUAAUGUGUAAAUCUACUCACAAGGAUUCCAAAACGUCUUCAUUUGCUAUUUCAUGAUUUUUCUACAACUUACUAUGAAUUUUAAAAUUUCAGCCUUUCUAGAUCUAGAAAAUAAACAAAACCGAGACGAUCUUACGAUCUACCCCCUAGGUCUACAGUUUAAUUGCGCAAAACUCCCUGGAACUUCCCCAUAACCCCCUACACUUCCUUCUUCUCCAAAGAGGACCCCCACGCACAAACAGCACACAACACAGGCACGCACGCACGGGACAGGCACGGCGGGCCAUGGACUUGGGGCCGAAGGUGGGGGAAAGAGAAGGGGAAGCUUGGGGAGGGAGAGGGGCAGAACACGGAGGCCAGGAGGCUCACCAGAAGGGAGUCAGGCGCUUGGAGGAGGGUGUGCACAGGGAGGAACGGCACAGGAAGGGGGCGGCGGAGGAGCUCCCGUGGAGGGCGUCGUCCGAUGAGAGAGGGGGGCCCGGGAAGUAGCAAAAUGGAAUCGCGACAUCGAGGAGGCGCCGUGGCUACAAGGAAUCGGCCGGAGAUGCACCAACCGCGGCGGAUUUCGCCGGUGAAAUUUGGGGAAAAAGUGGAGCUCAGGUUCGUGUUAAUGGUGGAGGAGGAAGGGGAGGGUUGAGGGCUUUAUAUAGGAGGGGAGCGGAGAGGAUAAGCACGGGCGAGGUGAUAAGGUUGCCACGGCGUUGUUGCUUGCCCAUUGGCAGUGAUGGCGAGCUGCUGUGCAUGGCGGCCUGGUGGCACAUAUGCAUGUUCGGUGGAGCUCGGGCCAAUGGAGGGCAAGGAGGAGGCGUGGCAGACAAGGGAGGUCAUGUGGGAGAUGCUUGGGGGACCUAUGGGUGGAGAGGGGCCUCCUGGCAUGGCCAGAGGUGCCCAAUGGCCAUCCUCAGCGUCUGUGCCGGCCAAGGGGAGGCGUGCAGGUGGCUGGACAGAGGUUGAAGAUGACUGACGCGUGGGCCCGUGGAGAAAUAAAAUAUGCCAAUUUGACCCCUUAAACGACCUAGCUAUCGGUGUCCAAAAAUUCUCCAAAAAUACUCGUUGGAAAUAUAAAAUAACAAAGAAUCCAAUGCAACAAGAAUUAACUCAAAAGCUUUUAUGGUUUGCACACAAUCGUAAAAAAAAACAGCUAAAAUCCAACUUUAAAUGAAUUUUUAACCCAAGAAAACAUCUCUGAAAAAUUUGGUAAAAAUAUUAUAAAAUCACUAAAUGGUGUUUAGUAUUUGAAUAAAAUAUUUGUGAGCACAGUUGUAUGGAAUUAAUUGUGGUUCCUUCAAAAAUUUGAUUUUCCACCGAUAAAUAACAAAAUUCGGAGCACUUAACAAUGCAUGGUCAAAACACUCAUGUAUGCACAAAUGAUGCUUAUAAGGGCCAACAAUGCACAAAAAGAUGUUCAUCAUGCUUAAUUAUGCAUGAUGAUGCUCGUGAUGCGUGUCAUGAUGAAGCUGUCGUGUAUAACCUGUGUUUUCACACAAAGUUCGAACUAUGCAGUUUGAUUUCCAAAAGUGAAGGUUCGGGAACAAGGUACGUGCUAUAACUUUUAUAAAGAUCAACAAGGAAAAGCUCAACGAAGAUGGAUAUAGGAUAGUAGGACCUUUGGUGGAACGUCGGCCAAAGCUAUUUUGGAAUUGGAUUUGAAAUUUGACCGAUCGUCUACUCGAUUUUGGAACAUCCUCUGCCCAAAAUCAGAAGAAGUGCUGUGAGUGGAAGGUGUUCAACUUGAAAAGUUCUACCACUAGUAUAUUGGUCAAGAUUUAAGUUCUUAUAUAAAAUUUGUUUUUAUUUGCUUCACAAGUGGUUCUCAACAGGAGGGAGUUUUAACACUUGGUUCGAAACCUGAGGUAUUUUUGGACCUUAACUCUCAGCAAAUUAGAGUUAGUUCUCACUUAUUCCUUAUUCCUUUGUUGAUUCUUUGAUUUAGUUUCUUAAUCACUUCGAUGAUUCCCUAAUUUAGUUGCGUAAUUUCUAGGGCUGUCACAAUGUUCCAAUGCCCAGUGGAUGGAUACCAUCGGAUGUUCCGAUGGUGUGCUUUUCUGCAAGCACUUUUCGAACAGCUAUCUCUUGUUGCCUAGCCUAUAUAUACCCCUCCCGCAGGUCAUUUGACUUGCUCUUGAAACCCUCAAGACUUCAAGCAACCUGUGAGCAAUUGAGAGUGUGCUAGAUCCAAAGAGUGAUUUGUGAUUUGCUAAAUCUCAAGAUUAAGGAUAUUUCUUAGUGUUUGAGAGUGACAAGUGUGCAUCUAGUUCAUGGCUUAGUUGAGUGCUAGUCAAGUGAAGCAUUGAAGCUUAUUACUCUUGGUGAUUGAUGUCGCCUAGACGGACUUGGUGGCCCGAAGGUUCUUGGUGAGCUCUUGGAGAUUGUGGGAGCCCCAAGAAGAAUAUCUUGUACACGGUUUGAAGCUCGCCAUUCCGAAGAUGGAGAAGGAGCAUUCAUAGUGAAGCACUCGAGUUAGUGGCUUGGGGGAGCAAAACCCUUAGUGGGUGAUCCAACUUGGAUUAGGGGUAGCGUCAACUCCUCGAUACCAUGGGAAAAAAACCGGUUGUCUCGUGUCCUCAAUCUUUAUAUUUCAGCACUCUUUUGAGCAUUUACUUCCUACAAUUUACUUAUUUUUUUGCUCUUGUUCAAGUUGUGCAUGCUUUGCUCAUAUCUUGCCUUAGGAAAUGAUGAUCAUGCUAGUGUGUUCUUCUUGCUAGGCUAUUUUAUUGCUAGUGUGCUUAGUUUCUAGGUAUCAUCCUUGUAGAUCGGGCAACACGAGAAAUCUAGGCUAAGGUUUGUUUCUUAUCAUUCUAGAAAUUUGAAAAAGUCCCAAUUCAUCCCUCCUUCUUGGGCCACUGAUCCUUACAAUUGGUAUCAUAGCAUAGGAUUUCUUUUCUUAGGUUUAACAACUAGAGAGAUGGCUCCAGAAAGUGGGAAUGGCCCUUCUAAGUUUACCAGCUCCAAUUUCACUUAUUGGAUGCAUAGGAUGUCUAGUUUCCUUCAAGCUCAACACCAUGAUGCUUAGGAGGUUACGGUUUGCUGUUUGCCUCCCCUUCCUACUGAGAGUGAAGCUAAGUGGGAUGCUCAUACUAGGAAUCACAUCUUUGAGUCUAUAAGUGAAGAGGUGCUUGCUAGAGUUCACACUAAGGAGACCGCACAUGAGGUGUGGAAAGAGCUCAAGAACAUCAAUGUGGGCUCUAAGAAAGUGCGCGAGGAGCAAUAUGAGUUGCUCAAGGAUAGGCUUAAUGAGUUCAAGAUGCUUCCCUAUGAAUUAGUUGAACAAAUGUAUUCUAGAUUGAAUAUGCUUAUUGAAGAUAUUAAUACUCUUGAUAUUGCUACUAUUUCUGAAGCGGAAAUCAUUCGCAAGAUCCUUCACACGCUUCCAAAGCCAAAGUACAACAUUAUCAAGGCACUUCUCUUCAAGAAAUACUUAAGAACUCUUGAAGUGUUCAAGGUUGUUGGCAAGAUUCGCUCUCAUGAGAUGUUUUUGAUGGGUGAAAUUGAACCAUCUACCUCCAAGAAAGAUCUAGCUCUCAAGGCUAAAGAAGAACCCAAGACCAAGAAAAAGAGCAAGCCCAAGCCUCCUCCAUCCUCAAGUGAAAGUGAAGCUAGUAGUGAUGGAAGUGGUGAUGAUGAAGAUGAGGAUGCUCAACUCGCUCUUAUGAUGAGAAAGACCACAAAGAUGUUGUCAAGGUUGGGCAAGAAGGGAUACAACUACGACCCCAAGAAAAACAAGUUCCAAACCUCAAGAAGAUCCGGAGAUAGUGGCAAGAGGAAGUGCUAAAAUUGUUCAAGCUAUGAUUGCUUGUCAUAUGAUUGCCCUAAGCACGACAAGAAAAUUCACAAGAACAAUAGAAGAAAAGAUGAGGAGGAGGAGGAAGAAGACAAAGACCACAAGUACAAGAAGAAGAAUCAAAGCAAGUCCAAGAUGUACAACAAGAAUAGUGGUGGUGAUCGGUCCUUCCUUGUAAAUGAAUGGCUCACCUAUUGUGAGACAUCAAGUGAAGAAUCAAGUGACGAUGAAGACAAGAAGUUUGCCGGACCCGCCAUCAUGGAUGAUGAAGAGCUGCCACUUCUUCCACCACCUAUGUGCUUCAUGGCUAAAAGUGGUAACAAAGUGAGCAAUGAUAAGAGUGAUUCUUCCGAUAGUGACAAUGAUCUCUCGCCUAAUGAACUUAGGUCGCUUCUUGAGGACUAUAAUGACAUGAUCAAGAAACAAAGGGCUAAAAUCAAGGUUCUUGAAGAGACCUAUGCUAAGCUUAAGCAUUCAAAUGAUGAGUUGCUUAUUAGUCACAAGGACCUUAGCAAUGACCAUGAUGCUUUGAUAGUAUCUAACAAGUCACUUAGAGAUGACCAUGACAAGUUACUUGGUAGGCUCAAUGAAUUGAUUUUCAAACAUGAUGAAGUGGUUGUGCUUAAUAAGUCGCUUGAGUCAAGUUAUAAGAAGCUUAAGGUUGAGCAUGAUAGCUUAAAGGUGAAAUAUCAAGAACUUGAGUUUUCCUAUGAUGCUAUUGACCCUAGUGUGCAAGAAAUUGCUAGAGAUGUUACUAAGGUCAAUGCAUCCACUUCUUGUGAUGAAUCUAUUGCUUCUUCUUCCAGAACUAACCAUGCAAGGGAAAAAGAACUUGAAUAAGAGGUGAAGAGCUUGGGUUCUUGUGUGAAGAAAAUGGCUAGAGCAAAGUACUUGCACAAGGAGAUUCUCUUCCAUAAUGCAAGAUGCUUUGGUACAAGAGGACUAGGUUCCUUCCCUAAGCCCGUGGAGAAUGUUCAAAACUCACCGGAACUCUACGGUUGCUUCAUCAAGGAGGUUGGGACCUAUUGUUAACAUUGUUAGAGUACCGGCCAUCACAAAAGGGAGUUCCCUAUACCUAACCGUCCUCUUUCCACUUUGCCUCAUAACUAUAAAUCUAUGUUCAACAAUAACCACUUUUUGUUGAUAAAGCUUAAGAGUGGCAAGGUUGAGGCAAUGUUUAUUGUCUCCCAAGCCAAGAGCAAGCAACCUAGACAAUUAUGGGUUCCCAAAGUUCUUGUUACUCAUGUCAAAGGACCCAAUGUUGCUUCGGCUCCUAAACCUCAAGCUUAAUUUCUUGUGUGUAGGUGAACUACAAAGCCGGUGGAAGUCAUUGGGUUCUUGAUAGUGAAUGCACACCACAUAUGACCGGCUAUGUAAGGAUGUUCACCUCCUUGGAUGAGGAUGCGGGCGAUCAUGAACAAGUUCCCUUUGGUGACAAUUCUAUAGGGAAGGUAUCCAGUUUGGGUAAAAUAGGUCUCACUAAAGAUCUAACUCUCUCAAAUGUCUUGCAUGUUGAUUCUUGUAGUUACAAUUUGCUUUCUAUUUCUCAAUUUUGUUACCUUGGAGUAACUUGCACAUUUCGUAAUGUUGAUGUGACCAUUUCUAGCAAGGAGUCCAAGGAAGUGGUCUUCAAGGGUUUUAGGCAUGGUAACAUAUACUUUGUAGAUUUUACCUCUCAUGAAGUAAACUUGAUGACAUGCCUCUUCACCAAGACAUCCUUGGGUUUGCUUUGGUACCGACACAUUGCUCAUAUUGGCAUGAGCCAACUCAAGAAGGCUUUCAAGAAAGGAAUGGUGGUUGGUGUGAAGGAUGUGAAGUUCGAGAAGGACAAGUUGUGUAGUGCAUGUCAAGCCGGGAAGCAAGUUGCAAGUCAUCAUUCCUUGAAGGCUUUCUUGUCCACCUCAAGACCUUUGGAGCUACUUCACAUGGAUCUCUUCUAUCCAACCACAUACAAGAGUCUUGGUGGUAAUCUCUAUUGCCUUGUCAUAGUUGAUGAUUAUUCUUGAUACACUUGGACAUUCUUUUUAGAAGACAAGAGCAAGAUCGUUGGGAUCUUCAAGACAUUCACCAAGAGGGCUCAAAAUGAGUUUGAGUCCACCAUAGUGAAGGUUCAGAGUGACAACAGCUCCGAAUUCAAGAAUACUCAAGUUGAAGAAUAUUGUGAUGAUCAAGGUAUCAAGCAUGAGUUCUCAUCCACCUACAUGCCUUAACAAAAUGGAGUGGUGAAGAGGAAGAACAAGACAUUGGUCACUCUUGCAAGAUCCAUGUUGGAUGACUAUGACAUCUCCCAAAGGUUUUGGGCUGAAGCCAUCAACACCACUUACCAUACAUCCAACCGAGUGUAUCUCCACCGACUCAUGAAGAAGACGCCAUAUGAGCUACUCAUUGGGAGGAAGCCCAACAUCUCCUAUUUCUAAGUCUUUAGUUGUUAGUGUUUCAUCUAUAAGAAAAGUAAGCACCUAGGAAAGUAUGAAAGUUAUUGUGAUGUUGGUAUUUUUGUUGGUUAGUCAUCAAACUCCAAAGCAUAUAGAGUAUUCAAUAAUGCCACCCGCAUAAUUGAAGAAACUUAUGGUGUGGAGUUUGAUGAAUCUAAUGGCUCCCAAGGAGAUGGUUUUGCUUUUGAUGAUGUAGGAAAUGAACCACUUCGUGAUGUAAUGAAGAAGAUGGCCAUUGGUGACAUCAAGCCAAUGGAGGAGGAUGAAGCUCCCACAACUACUUCCAAGCAAGUGGAGGCAUCACCCAAGGAUGAGACUAAAGAUGAAGAUGUACCUACUACUUCCCAUCACUAUGAUGUCUCUUCCGAUGAAGAUGAUGAACCUGCAAGACAUACUUCAUCCACUCCACCAAGUCAAGAUGAGCCUCCUUCUUCACAAGACAUCCCCAUCACACAGGAAGAACCAUAAGCCCAAGUUCCGCCACAAGCUUCAUAUUCUACACCAAUUGUGAAGCAUACAAGGACGUCCCAAGAACCAUCCCGUUGACUUGGUCAUCGGUGAUCCUAACGGUGGUACACAGACUAGACGCACUUAAUAUGCUUCCUUUUGUAAACAUUACUCCUUUAUUUCUUGUUUGGAACACACAACUAUAGGUGAGCCUCUUGAGGACCUGGAUUGGAUAAUGGCAAUGCAAGAAGAGCUCAACAACUUCACCCGCAAUGAAGUUUGGGGUCCUAGAGGAGUGUUCUAGGAACAAGAACGUCAUUCGCACCAAGUGGGUCUUCCGCAACAAACAAGAUGCACAUGGAGUUGUGGUGAGGAACAAAGCAAGGCUCAUCGCUAAAGAAUUUGCACAAGUGGAAGAUUUGGACUAUGGAGAAACCUUUGUUCCCGUGGCAAGACUUGAAGCCAUUCAUAUCCUUCUUGCAUAUGCAUCUCAUCAUGAUAUGAAGAUGUUUCAAAUGGAUGUGAAGAGUAAAUUUUUGAAUGGUUUCAUAAAUAAGGAAGUAUAUGUGGAACAACCUCCCGGUUUUGAAGAUCCUAGAUAUCCUAACCAUGUCUUUAGGUCACACAAGGCUUUCUACGGGCUCAAGCAAGCACCAAGGGCUUGGUAUGAACGCCUACGUGACUUCCUCAUCAAUGAAGGCUUCAAGAUUGGGAGGGUGGACAACACCUUGUUCACAAAGAUCAUCAACGAUGAGUUUUUUAUUUUUCAAAUCUAUGUUGAUGAUAUAAUCUUUGGUUAUACUAACCUCAAAGUGUGCAAAGACUUUGGUGAUUUGAUGGCUAGGGAGUUCGAGAUGUCUAUGAUCAGUGAGCUCAACUUCUUCCUUAGGUUUCAAAUCAAGCAACUGAAGGAAUAAACAUUCAUCCAUCAAGUGAAGUACAUGAAGGACAUCCUCAAGAAGUUCAAGAUGGACGAUUGCAAGCCGAUCAAGACUCCAAUGCCUACCAAUGGACAUCUCAACUUGGAUGAGGGAGGUAAACCGGUUGACCAAAAGCUUUAUCGCUCUAUGAUUGGGUCGCUUCUUUACCUUACCGCAUAUAGGCCGAAUAUAAUGUUUAGUGUGUGGAUGUGCGCUCGGUUUCAAGCCAACCCUAAGGAAUCACACCUAAGUGCUGUAAAAUGUAUCCUUAGAUAUCUAAAGCUCUCCCCUAGCAUUGGCUUGUGGUACCCCAAAGGUGCAUUUUUUUGAGCUCUUAGGCUAUUCAGACUCGGACUUUACCGGGUGUCGAGUAGAUCGCAAGAGCACUUCGGGUGGGUGCCAUUUGCUAGGCAGGUCUUUGGUCUCUUGGUCCUCUAAGAAACAAAAUUUCAUGGCCUUAUCCACCGCGGAGGCGGAAUACAUAGCCGCCGAGGCUUGUUGUGCUCAAAUCCUUUACAUGAAGCAAAGCCUCUUGGGUUAUGGUGUGCUAUUAGAUAGGGUUCCCCUAGUUUGUGACAAUGAGAGUGCGGUUAAAAUUGGUAACUAUCCGGUUCAACACUCUCACACCAAGCACAUAGAUAUUCACUUUGAGAGAUCAUGUUGCUAAGAAUGACAUUUCACUUUGUGGAGUUCGUUCCGAAGAGCAAUUGGCGGAUAUCUUUACAAGACCUAUAGAUGAAAAUACUUUUCAUUGGUUGCGAAGUGAGCUCAAUGUGCUUGAUGUCUCUAACAUCAUGUAAUUGCUUGUCAUAUAGUUGCAUUUCAUAUGUACAUGGCUAGGGGGGCUUGUCUAACCUUGUCAAGAUAGUGAUGAACAUGGGUUUUGCUUGAGCUGGUGGACCUCUUUUUGCUCAAGGCAUGAAGUUUGGUUCAUCAUGAAUAAGCUUGACAAGGGCUCAAACUUGACAAGAUGGUUGUACUUUUCUUGUUUUGCAUCUUUGCUUGUCAUAUAGAAUGCAUUCAUGUUUACUUUCAUGCACUUGUCUUGCAUUGCAUUGCAUUGGCGUUAGGCUUGUCACAAAGGAGAUAUCACUCUUAGAAAAUGUUGUUCACUCUCAAUGUGAAUCAACAACUCAAUAAGUGUGAUUAGAGCAAAUAUUGUGCUUUCAUGCCUAUUGAGUCAUGUCCUAACGAACUUAAAGUUUCCAUCUCUAAGUUCAUAGGCAAGUGACUCAUACAUUCCCUUUUUGGAGUUCCCUCCUCUCUUUGGUUCUUAUUGCAUUCCUUGAAAAAUAUGUUAUCUAUCCCAAGUUAUGGAAUCCUAUAUGUAUUUUCAAAGGAGUACUUGAGGGGAGAGGUUGUCACUCAAAAUUGAUCCAAGUUUGAGCUGGUUUUGACCUGUGUUUGUCAAAUUUUUGGAUCAAGGAAGAGGCUCUUAGUUUAGCACAGCUUAAAAAUCACCAUCGGAUGUUCCGACGACAUGUAGGUUCCACCAUCGGAACAUCCGGUGGUAGGGUCUGUUUGAAAAUUUUUGAAGUGCUACAGUUUUUCAUCCGAUGCUUUCUUUUUGCACCAUUGGAACUUCCGGUCUUGUUGAAAAACUUGGCAAAUUUUGGACCCUGAAAAAAUUUGUCUGACGCAAUUAAUUAUCCAACCAUAGGACCUUUCGGUGCCCUAGUCAACGCGAGUUCUAAAUCGAGUCAAAAUCAAUCCGAUGCUCAGUCUGAUUCUCCAUUUUUCGAGCCAUCGGUUCAUCCGAUGCCUCUCUGCCGUGUGGGUCCACCUGUCUUAACCGCUUGACCUCUUUGACCUUAUCUCCAUAUCACUUUGACCCCGUGCCGCUCCCGUCCGUACAUUGCCGCUCCCGGGCGAUGGUCCUUCCUGCCACCUCCACGCCCUGCGUCGUCGCUCGUCGUCAUCGCCGGCUUGCCGAGCGUCGUCACCGGCUAUCUCCACCACCGCUCCUUUGCUCCACCGAGCGGAAUCACGCGCAGCCUGCGGGGGACCCUACCCUAGGAUUUCCACUGCCAGCGUCGAUCCCGGCUGGGCAUCGCCGUCUCUAGCCGUCGGCCGCCAUUUCCAAGAUCGUCGGUGCCUUCUCCGCUAUCCACUGCCAUGCCUCUCUCCAUCUCACAUAGUGGUGAGCAUUCCCAUCUAACCGCCCCACAUCUCUUUCAAACUUUUGCCAAUUUUCGUGCAAAUUAUGUUGAAUGGGUGGAUAAGAUGAGGAAUUGAAGGCUUUUGUCAUGAUAUUGAGUAGCAAUUUAGUCAUCUUUCAUUCUGUUAGACUCAGAAUCAUGUGCAAGUCUAUUUUAAGUUUUUCUGUUAAGGGCUUGGAGGUUACCCUCACUGGUUUUAGGUGCUAAAUCCAUUGAUUAAUCCCUGCAACACAUAAAAUCAUGUUUUUUUUGCUCACUUCUUGGUCAGAAUGGAUAUAUCAAGAAAAGUGAGCAAAUUGUCUAACUAUUCAAGUAUACAUUCCCUGAAAUUAUCUUCUUGGACAGCUAUACUUUCAUAUCCUAGGUGCUAGUUCUCUUGCACAUCUUGUUGAUACCUAAGAACCUUAUCUUAGUAUUCGACCUUUCAUCAUGUGUUGAGAAUGUCAUCCACUAGAAUUUUCAUACGUAGGAUCAAUCAUUCUUUUGCUAUGCUUAAGGACAUUCUUACCCUUAGUUACAUAUCAUUAUAUAUAUAUAUAUAUAUAUAUAUAUAUAUAUAUAUAUAUAUAUAUCGCCAUUCUAUAAUCUUUCACCAUAUCUCUUGCAGAUGGCAGGCGAAAAGAGGAAGGGUAAGAAGAGCAAGGUCAAUAAGGAGUGGGAGCGUGCCUUGCUAGUUUUGAAUACUCAGGGGCAGCCACAGAGGGGUAUUAGGAUUGGAGCUCCAGUUCAGAGUGCUUUAGGUGCACUGACAGAGCAGCCAGCAGAGCAAACUUCGACACUCAGACACUCAGGUUGUACUUAACAAACAAAGACAUCUACACCCUCUCCCGCACAGUGUUCCAGUCCUCGGACCCGCAGGGGGAGUGCUUAGACUCUAGCUCAGUCUAUCACACAGUCAGCUUGGCAGUGGUAGAAGGAUGACAGUGAGUCUUGUGAUGAUGGUAGGAGGAUUAGAGGCACUCAUCCAGAGGUGUUUGGUACUUUCCUUCAUGACUUGAGGAGCUUAUCGGGUCUGAAGGUGAAGAAGCUGAGAAGUGUUGGACUUCCAGAGUGGUUCCCACAUAGGCAUGCUAAUGUGGAUCCUCGCUUUUGGACACUUCUUCAAGAGAGCUUCCAUGCCUCUUACACUCCGGGUGGAUCUCAAUUGAGUAUUCACCGGAUGUUACAGUGGAUAGCCCUUCGGAUGGCCAUGGGUGGUAUCCUAUCCUUCUACAUUUUAAGUACAUCACUAGCCUGCCAGCUUUGCUCAGUGAGAGGUCCCGGUACAUAGCAAAUUGGGUCAGAGUCUUCUAUGCCAUAGUCUACAUCGCUACAGACAAACAUACAUCAGAUUCAUGUUUAUGGGAGAGCAGUUUCACUUGUCGAGGGAAAACUUGGCUUAGUUUCUUGGCGUUCCACUGGCCGAUGUGUCUCUUCAAAUGCUUUGCUACCUAGGGAUAAAGGCUUCUCAUUAUGCUCAUGACACAGUUAUUCCUACAGAUGAUCAGAUCACGCCGCUCUUUGUUCAGCUGUUCUUGCCAGGCACCCCACGCACUCCUGACCGCUUGACUCCUGAAGCGUACGUUGUUCACAAUGCCCUCAAGAAGUCCCUUCUUUACAGAGUGGGGAACACCGAGUCGAUCACUGGGCUACAGUAGUGGUUGCUUCUUCACAUUAUGACUCACGAGCCCUUUGAUAUCAUUGAUAUACUCUUGUGUGAGAUCGAGAAUGCUAUUAUGGAUGGCAUGGACAUGAACCGCCAGCAGCCAUAUGCUCAUUGGAUCAGCUAGUUCUUGGCUUGCUUGUCAGCUCGGAGGUGCAGACCAGAAUUGGAGAAGUCAAAGAUGUGCUUCAAGUUCUAUCAGCCUUCAAGGCCGAAUGACAUGCACGGGGGAUCCGCAGAGCACAGAUUUAGGUUGAGGAGCAAGCCGUUGCUGAGGCUGCCAUGGACGAGGCUACUCGAGAGGACGAGACACUAGCUACAGCAGAGGCUCCCAUGCCAGCUUACCUAGCUACGGACUCCGAGGAUUCUGAUGCGGAUGAGGACUAAUUGCCUUCUGAGCCUACUUUCAGAGUUCAUCGUGCUCACAACGAUGAGGCAGGGUCUUCUCUUCCAGGACAAUGCAUGCCAGAGCCAACAGUCCCUACAGUUACAGUUGCUCAGAUCACUCAGCCCGACACACUCACAGCAAUACUUCAGUCCUUGGCAGUGGGGUAGCGAGCUAGUGAGGAGAGGUAGCUCAUGCAGGCACAGAUAGCCCACCAGCAGGAAACCUAGCAGGUCCUUCUUGAGGGCAUUAGGCAGCAGCAGGAGGCCCAAAGGCAGCAACUCCUUCAACAGCAGAUGGUGUGCUUGUUGGUGUGUUAACAUGUUAUUUGGAUCUUGUGCUUGUUGGUGUGUUGACAUCUGAUGGUGUGCUUUUCUGCAAGCACUUUUCUAAUGGCUAGCUCUUGUUGCCUAGCCUAUAUAUACCCCUCCCCCCGGGUUAUUUGAGCUGCUCUUGACACCCUGAAGACUUGAAGCAGCCUAUGAGCAGUUGAGAGUGUGCUAAAACCAAAGAGUGAUUUGUGAUUUGCUAAAUCAAAAGAUUAAGGAUAUUUCUUAGUGUUUGAGAGUGACAAGUAUGCAUCUAGUUCAUGGCUUAGCUGAGUGUUGAUCAAGUGAAACAUUGAAGCUUGUUACUCUUGAUGAUUGAUGUCACCUAGACAGUCUUGGUGACCUGGAGGUUCUUGGUGAGCUCUUGGAGAUUGUGGGAGCCCGAAGAAGAAGAUCUUGUACAUGAUUUGAAGCUUGCUAUUUCGGAGAUGGAGAAGGAGCAUUCUUAGUGAAGCACUUGAGACUUAGUGGCUUGGGGGAGCAAAACCCUUAGUGGGUGCUCCAACGUGGAUUACCGGGGAGCAUCAACUCCUCGAUACCACAGGAAAAAAUUCGGUUGUCUCGUGUCCUCAAUCUUUACAUUUUAGCACUUCUUUUGAGCAUUUACUUCCUACAAAUUAAUUUUUUUUUCUCUUUUUCAAGUUGUGUUUGCUUUGCUCAUAUCUUACCUUAGGAAAUGAUGAGUUUCUUCAUAAUUAUUACUAUAUUAUACAAUUACUAUAUAUACAAUUCUUAGUAUAUUAUACACAUCAAACUAGUAUUAAUACAAUUACUAUGUAUACAAUAAUUUAUCCUCAUAAUUCUUAGGAUCCUCCCAUCGUGGUGUUGCUUGGUUUGGCUAAUGAAUGUCCAUCGUAAUAAAAUUCUCCUUUGAAAUUUAUCACCUCGUCCACCAAAAAUCCUAUGAGUGCUUCUUGGAUUGCCAAAAGCCUUUCCUUCUCCAAGAGUUCUUCGCGAAUCUACCACAUCUGUAAUUUGGAAAUAUGUGAAUGUUACACCAACAAUUAAAUAAAAGGAGCUAGAAAACGAUUAAUAAUUAAUAGGCUGAUUUUACGUACAGUUAUAUGGUCCGAUAGCACCUUGUCCCUCACGAAAUGGUAUAUGUGCUCACAGACAUAGUAUCCACAUAAAUUAUUCCCUUGUUCCUAUCUCAAGCACUUUAGUGGAAAAAAAAUAAGUUAUGAAAUAUUCGUGUUAUAGAAUAUACAAAAUGUGCAAACUUCAUGCAUACCGGAAAAGUUGUACUGAAUGUAAGUUUUUCUUUACAAUCACCACGAUGAUACUUAUGGAAUCAUUUCCAUAUGUUGUGAAUUAAAAUAAUGAAUAUGAUACAGUGUUAGGUGAAAAUUUAGGAAACAAACUUUUGCAUAGAGAUAAAGGUCCAGAAUUAUUACAAGUUAAGCAUGUCUUGAAUGUCUUGGUACUCAUCCUUUGGUUUUCUAAGUGAAUCAAACACAAUAGCAUUGCUUUGAUCAAUCAUAAUUAGAAGAAGAAUCCGGUGGUAACUAUGUACAUAAAUGUUCAUAUUAUAACUAACUAACAUUAAUUAGGUAAGGAAAGGAAAACAAAAAUAGACGGUACCCACACUUACUUAAAGUUGUAAGGCAGUAGUAUGUAUUACUUGUAAUUCUGUUGCUCCAAGAAUUUGUAUAUUGCGUCCAAUGUAGACUUUGGUUGAUCUCGUAUUUGCUUUUGGUUAACAAGCAUUGCGUCCAUGAAGCCAAUGUUGAAGUAGGAUUCUCGACGGCACCUCUAAAUUUACAUCCUACAUAAAAUGAAAUACAAAGUUAGUGGGACGACACACACACACACAAUAAUGAGUUGAGACAAAAUUAACACCUAAUAAACACACACUUACAGAACCCAGGCACUGAUAAGAUACACAUCAAGGGCAUCAUGAUGGUACACUUCAUAAAUAUCCUUAAAUUCCAACCACAGCAGCUUCUCACCUUCACCGAAAAAAUCAAUCAGUUUAACAAGAAGAGCGAACAUGUCCCUGUCAUUGGCCGACUACUCCAUGUACCACUGAUGGAAUUCAUACAUCUUAGUUGUGAGGUUCCAUACCAAUUCAGGCCUGACUAGAGGCUUGCCUAACUCAAAGGGCCAUCUAGGUAAGUCUUUUCUAGAGGUGGCAGGUUCAUCUUGCCCUAGAACUUCAGCAAGCGAGAGACCUGUCUCUGCCAUAAACUUAACAACCUUGAUUUGUUGUUCUAAAGGCAAAGUUGCUAUUUGUUGAGCUUCUUGAUCUGCUUGCUGAUCUUGCUGCUCGAGCUGGGGGACAGUACGCCUAGAUGACGACUCUCCUCGUUUCUUCUUCUGCCAAGACUUAACUAAUGAACAAUUGUAGUUUGAUAGUAAAGUCUUCUUGACUUCUUUUUUCAUGCCAAUAAAAAACUUUAAUUUGGCUGGAUCUACUAGCUUAGGCUCCAUCUCCUUCGCUUUUCUUUCUGCAGUGAUUUUUUCAAACCACUCCCUUACAUGUGCUUGAGAUGCAUCCUCCAAUUCCUCAGGAGUCAUAUUGCCUGCUAGCUUCUUAAUAAGUUCAGACUUCUUUUUUUUCCCUCGAUUCUUUCACCUUUGACUACCUUGGCUUGCAAGGCGGUGGUCGCAACUUCUUGAGAGGUGGUGCAUGUGCUUCCUUACUUUCACCAAACUUUAGUCCCGGCACUGCAGACUGUGAUCGAGGAGGGGUGUUUUGGUCAUCGUUGCUCCCGCCUGCUGGAUUCGAUGGUGCUGGAGAUGGUGAUCGAGCAGGAUGUGACGGUCCUGGUGGUGAUGACUGUCAUGGAGGUGGAUGUGCUGGAGAUGACGGUCUUGAGUUCUGAGGAGAUGGUGGUUGUGGGGGAUCUAUGGGAAGAAAUGAUGCCUCCUGGUCAGGGAUGAUGAUGUAACAUUUGCACCAUAAAGUGAUACCGCGAAGUGCAUCUCCUAUUGUUCUUUACCCAUCACCUCCCAGGAGGUCGAGCUCUAUGCCUUCACAUUUACUAUCACAAAUCUGCUCCAUCCCAACGCUAGAGUAGCUAGGUGGAAUCGCCAUGUCAUGAAUUGUCUGUCCUGACGGGAUUGGUAAAGCAGUUUCGUACGCCACCUGUACAUAUAGGAGAAAUAAAGAAGUUAUUAAACUCCUAAGGCGUGGAUCAAUUGAGAUAAUUGUAUAAAUUAUAUAUAUGUAUACCUUAAUAGUGAGGUUGCCAAAUGGUCUGUACAACUCACAUGAGAUGCGCUGAGUGAUGUUAUCCACAUGGUACCAUUGGUUGUCCUGCACAACCACGGGUAAGCUUGGCAUGUUCUCAUUGACGACCCCUGCAGAAGCACAGCUGCUUCGGCGUUGAGAAGGGCUGACGACGACGUUGGGAUCCGGCAGUGCUCCAGAUCGGGCCAUCUUAGUAACCGCUAAGGCCACUCGUCGAUUAAUUUCUUCCUGCAUUCUUACAUCUUGUCCAUGCACUUUAGCUUCUGACAUACGCCACCACCUCUCCUCUUAUUGUUCCUUUCUUCUCUUGCAACUUCUGUACGUGUCGAUGUCCCUACAGAAAGCAUACUUCCACAGAACCACCCCGAAGCCUCGACAACGUCCUGGGUGUUCGGGAUUCCUGAGCCAAAGUUAGCUCAUCGUUCUCUCUAUCAGGCUUAAACUUUCCCGCUUUAUAAUCUUCAAUGUUUUUGAUAAGCCUAAGGGCCUUCUCAUAUAUUGUUUCAUUGAAAUAAGUGUCCCAUCCUAAGGGCUAAGGGUGCCUCUAUGAGCGCAAUACCAAUUCUUCGAUCGAUCAGGCCAGUCAAUUGUCGCUGGUAUGAUACCUCGAUCGAUUAGGUCUUGUUCCAUCUUUCUCCAUUUGGGAAUUGCACUCCUAUAACCACCUUGCCCUAGAUGAUGAUGGUACUCCUUGUUCUAGGCAUUGCUUGAGUUGACACGAACCUUGUUCGCACUAUCUUCACUCCUCUUGUAUUCCAGAAAUAAGUUCCAGUGAUCUCUUAACUUUAGCCAGUAAUUAAAUUCUAGACUUCGGCCCUUCUUUAUAUAGUUACUAUCCAGAUUCUUCUUGAAGGCCUGAAAUUGGGUUGCCAUCUUCUUGAGUGUCCAGUCUUUCACAACUUUUUCAACGACACCAUCAGGAAGUGUGAAGUGUUUCUUGACAUCUGCCGACAACAUAUCUUUCUGUGUCUGCGGGAGCACGUAUGGAUCAUCUUUUUUACAGGACUUCCAUUCUCGAAUGUUGAUGGGCACAUUGUCCCUUAUAAUAGCCCCGCAUUGACUCACGAACUUUCCAGUGACUUUAUCGGGACCAAUUGACUGGUCCUCUUCUGUCACUUUGGGGAUGUAAAACCUUUCCUCUAUUAUCUCUGUACGACCUCGUGGCUUAUUUUGCUUCAUCGAUCCAGAGGGCUAAAAGUUCAAGAUUUGUUAAUUAGUAUAUAGUAAUAAUGAAUAUGAAGUUAUAGAUGGGGUAAAAUAAUAAAAAUAAUAUAUACCUCGCCAGAACCUUCCAUCAUGGCAAUGUCUUGUUCCGCAUUGUCAUCAACGUCGUGCUCGGGCUCAUCGUUGCCAUCACCGGACAUGUUGAGGAACAUGUCCGCCUGGCUACCCUCAUCCUCGGCGUAGGUUCUUAGAACGUUUGAGCCACUCCCGUCAUCAAUAAUCUACUCCAUUAUAUACAUUUCAUCAUGUUCGUCUCCCAACUAAAUUAAUAAUGACAUUAGUUAUACACACAUGUAAUCAUAGAUCCAUAAAAUUAAAGAUUGUCUGAAGUAGUACAAUUAAUAUAUAAACAUGAAAUCAUAUAACAACCAUGAAAUAAAAGAAACUGAUUGAAAUAUACACAUGAAACCAUAUAUUAAAUUAUAAAUAAAUAUACCUGGAAUCAUGUAUACAAUAAAACUUAUACAAUUUAUUACAUGAAACUUACAUGAAAUUAAACAUUAAAAAUUCACGCAAUUAUAUAUGCAACUCCUCUACUUGUGUAUUGUCACCAAAAAUGUCAUUCCAUUAUAUAUACAACACCUCUACCAAAUUUCUACUAUAUUAUACUAAUGUAUACUAAAUUAUACUAAUUUUCUAAGAUUUCAUACUAAAUUAUACCAAUGUAUACUAAAUUAUACUAAAUGUAUAUUAAAUUAUACUAAGCAUUUAUACUAAAUUAUACUAAUAUAUACUAAAAUGUACUAAUUAAUUUAUAUUAAACUAGACUAAUUUUCUAAGUACUAUACUAAUUUAUACUAAUUUACAAAUUUAUACUAAAUUAUACUAAUUUCUAAUAAUUUAUACUAAAUUUUCUAAGCAUUUCUAAUAAAUUAUACUAAUUUUCUAAUAAAAAAAUCCGACUUGCGUCAUCAAGCCGGGGCUUGUGUCAGCGUCCUACCUCUUCAACGAGAGGGCCGAGGCGCGGAGGAAUGGCGGCGGAAGGCGCGCGGGAGACGGUGGUGGGUUGGGGCACCGGGAGACGACGUGGCGGUGGGGAAGGAGAUGGCGUCGGGGAUGACGACGCGACAGAUCUUGGAGGGGACGGGGGACGUGGUAGCCGACGACGACGCGGCGGGGGACGGUGCGGCGGCAGUGCGACGCGCUGGCGAGAAGCGUCGAAGGGCGUCGGGGUGCCACAGGGAUGGCGUCGGGGCGUCGAUGGGGACACCGUGGCGGAGCUACUAGCCGGUGGCACGACGGCCAGGGGGACGACGACGACACGCGGUGAGGCAACGGUGGGGCCGGCCGGCCAAGAGGGGGCAGCGGCGCAGCUAAGGAGGAGGACGGAGAGACACGGGGAGUGCCGACGGUGGAUGCAAGGCUGGUGCUGAACAUCGACGAUGAGGCACGACGGCAACGACCGAGGAGCAGAACAUGCGGCGCGACGACGACGGCGGAGAGGAGACAAGGCGGCGGAUCGGGGUUUGUCUGGCGGCCCUAGCGCCUCCUGCACCCUCCUCGUCGCCACCUACCCCUCCGCGUCCUGUCACUCAGUCUGUGACUGGGGCAAUCCAGCCAGUCCACUACUAGGGCAUGACAGCCUCGACUUCUUCUCCGCCCUCUCCGAUUCCGGUGAAUUAUCGCAGUGCUCUGGCUCACGCCAAUUGGCGUGCUGCCAUGGUCAACGACUUCCAGGCUCUCAUCAACAACGACAUCUGGUGCCUCAUCCCGCAGCCGCUCGGUGCCAAUGUUGUGUUGGGCAAGUGGAUCUUCUAGCAUAAGUUCCAUGUUGAUGGGUCCCUCGCCUGGCACAAGGCGUGCUAGGUGGUUCAUGGCUUCUCCCAGCGUCACGGCAUCGACUACGAUGAGACCUUUAGUACAGUUGUCAAACCAGCAACGAUACGAACUGUCCUCAUCAUCGCCACUUCUCGUGCCUGGCCGAUCCACCAGCUGGACAUCAAGAAUGCGUUUCUUCAUGGACACCUCGUAGAUACUGUCUACUUCCAGCAGCCUCCCGGCUUUGUCGACCCCGCCGCCCCCAAUCAUGUAUGUCUCCUACAGAAGUCCUUGUAUGGACUCAAACAGGCCCCGCAAGUGUGGUACCAGCGGUUCGCCUCCUUCCUUUGUUUGCUCGGCUUCAUUGCCUCCACCUCCAACACCUCCCUUUUUGUCUACAAAGAGGGAUCGAACCUCACUUACCUGCUGCUCUACGUUGAUGACCUCAUCCUCGACUCUUCUUCGGCACAUCAUGGGGCGUCUUCACUCCGAGUUCGCCAUGAUGGAUCUUGGGGACCUGCACCACUUCCUUAGCAUCUCCAUCACGCGUUCCUCCCAGGGCCUGUUCCUGUCUCAGCGACAGUAUGCCUUGGAUCUUCUUUAGCGUGCCGGCAUGGCUGAGUGUCAUUCUACCAUGAUUCCAAUUGACAUUCAUGCCAAGUUUUCGGCACACGACAGCACCAAGCUCCAAGAUGGCUCUGAGUAUCGGAGUCUUGCUGGGGCUCUUGAGUACCUCACUCUGACUCGACCUGACUUGGCGUAUGCGGUUCAGCAGGUGUGCCUCUUCAUGCAUGACCCACGCGAACCCCACAUGGCCCUGAUCAAGCGCAUCCUGCGCUAUGUGAAGGGCACGCUCUCCUCCGGGCUUCACAUCAUCACUGGCUCUACUCAGUCUCUGACUGCCUACUCCGACGCCAACUGGGCUGGCUGCUUGGACUCUCGACGAUCCACCUCCAACUUCUGCGUCUACCUUGGCGACAAUCUAGUGUCUUAGUCCUCCAAGCGUCAGACCAUGGUGUCUCAUUCCAGUGCUGAGACGGAGUACCGUGCUGUGGCUCAUGCUGUGGUAGAGUGUUGCUGGCUGCGUCAACUUCUUCAGGAGUUUCAUCUCCCGCUUGCUUCAGCCACUAUUGUCUACUGUGAUAACGUGAGCGUUGUCUAUAUGACAGCCAAUCCGGUGCAUCAUCGGCGCACGAAGCACAUCGAGCUUGAUAUUCACUUCGUCUAUGAGAAGGUAGCGUUGGGUGAGGUCUGGGUUUUUCAUGUGUCGUCCUCUCAUCAGUUCGCGGACAUCAUGAAGAAGGGCAUGCCACUUCCUUUGUUCACUGAGUUUAGGUCCAGUUUGUGCGUCCAUGAUCCUCCCGCUUCAAUUGCAGGCGGGUAUCAGGAAGUAUAUGUGUAUAUUAGGAUGUAUUUAUCCUUUCCUUGUACUCCAAGCCAUAUUGGCAAUAUAUAUAGAGAGAGGUCACCCCCCUCAUUGGGGUGUGUGGUGUUUCCCAUCUACUUCUCUACAUUGGGACUAAAGCCCCACCAGAUUCCCUUGUCCUAACUAGCCGUUACAACUAGGACUAAAGGGGGCUCUUUAGUUCCGGUUGAUAUUACCAACCGGGACUAAAGCUCUCGUCGUCGGUGGUGGCUGGUCGUGGCCAUUUGACCCGGGACUAAAGCUCCUUUAGUCCUGAGUCCAAAAAGCAUUGAGACAUAUGUCUCUGGAUGGAAGGUCUAUUCUCUACUAGUGCACCCUAAAAACAUGCACAAAGGUUGUCACUUGAAGAGGAAGACAAUCAGAAUCUAUACAGGCAUAUCAUCGUCAUCAUCGUCAUCAUCAUCAAGAGUUUCUUCAUAAGCUUGUAGGAAGUUGUACCCUCCCAUUGUUGAACUAACGCUACUGGAAAAGUGAGUAUUCGUCCAACGUAUUAGUACCAAACGUCUUUCCAUCCGGUACUAACACACGGCAUUAGUACCGGUCAUCACGCACAGUGCCACCAGAGCCCCUAUAGUACCGGUUUGGAGGCUCAGCUGGUACUAAAUGGCGGCACAUAGAACGCGUGGCCGACAAGUAGAUUCUCCAAGGAAGCUAUUUAGUACCGGCUAGUGGCUUCAGCCAAUACUAAAUGGUGAAAAUACCAUUUAGUACCGACUAGUAACUUCAACCGAUACUAAAUGAAACCAUUUAGUACCAGUUGAAGCUCUCAGCCGGUACUAAUGUCAACAUUUGCUUUAUACAUAAAUAAGCUUCUUCCUUAGCUUCCUCCCCUAGCAAGCUCAACCAUUUGCUCGGGCUUCAUUUUUCUUCACUCAACUAGCUUCUUCACUAGAUUGGUUAGCAACUUCAUUCUCCCUCCUUUAGUCAUAAUAUUCUAGAUUUUUUUUGAAUGAGUUAGUUUUAUGUUAUAAAUGGAGUACUUGUUGAUCUUUUAGAAUGAGGAGAAUGGAGAGUUUUUUAGAGUGAGGUGAAUGGGGAGUUUUUCAGAAUGAGUUUUAUGUUAUAAAUCGAGUACUAGCUUGUUGAUGUUUUAGAACGAUGAGAAUGGAGAGUUUUUUAGAAUGAGAACUAAAUAUUAUAAAUACAUUUACUCUAUCUUUCCCCUACCUAAUAUUGAUCAAGUUUUUUAUCUAAUACAAACCUCUAUAUCCAUUUUUCACGUAAUACGAUGUAAAUGGACCGACAAUUGAUGUAAUACCUCCGCUCCUCCAAUACCAGAGAACAGAAAAACUUCAAGUCCACAAACUCUGACUAAACAUCAUAAAAGAAUUUUAAAAUAGUUUUCCAAACACCUUUUGGAGCUAGAUUUUCAUUAUAGAAGUAUGGUGGCCAAUUAUCAAUUUAGGUAGAAAUUUGUUCAUUAACCUUACUCUAUUGGUUGGUUUUGGAUUGCCAAAAUGAACAACCAUGCCUCUCUGCUCUAAAAAAUCGAAGAGGCGAAAAAAACUUCGUAAGUCGGGGUUCCUCCGCUCCGGUUUCGCGUCCGCGAGGCACCAGCGUCGUCCGCUUCGCCUCCCUCCAUCCCACGCUUCGCGGUUGGCGCUCCGAUCUCCAGCGCGUCCGCGAGGCACCCAGCGCGGUCUGCUGCGCCUCCUUCCAUCCCGCGCUUCCUGGUUUGUCCUCCGAUCUCCAGCGCGUCCACCCUACUCCUCCUCGUUCGCUCUGCGCCGCCGCCGCCGCUCGCCCUCCUCCUCUCCUCGGCUCGGUCUCCCUGCGCCACCGCCGCCGCCCACCCUCUCCUCUCCUCAGCUCGGUCUCUCUGCGCUGCCGCCGCCACCUGCCCUCCUCCUCGGCUCGCCCUCCGCCUCUCCUCGCCGCCCUGCACCACCGCCGGUGUUGGUGUAGGAUUGAGAAUCGAUCAUUCAGCACACCGGCGACGGGUACGGCGAGGAGGAUAGCCGGCCACCAUCGCCGCUCGCCCUGCGCUGCCGCCCGCCCUCCUCCUCGAGUCCGUCCACCGCAGCCACAGCGUCGUCCCGCUCCUCGGCGCAGCCACGGCGUCGUCCUUCUCCUCGACGCCGCCACGGCGGGGCUGCCGCGGGCCACCGCUGCCCAGUACAGCAGCCCCGCGCGGGGGACGGCAUCGCGGUCGUGGAGGUGAUGGCGGACACCGUUGCCAUGCCGAGCCAGCGUCCACGCUCACCUAGGUCUGUAGGAAGUCGAGGAUUCAGCAGAUCACGUCCCCGGCCAAAGGAGUCAUGGAGGAUGUGGACAUAGAGCACGCGGUUGCUCGCCAUGGCUCCUCCCCUCCAUUCGCGAGGAGGAGGCAGAUGCAGCAGCAGCACCAUGUGGAGAAAUUUUCUAGCCAGGAUAGUGCUCGAUGAAAUGCCGACCCGAUAAAUCGAAUCAUGGAACAUCCACAGGUGUGUAUCAUUGCAUCCCUUGAAUAUUACCUUUCAUGUUAAUAGGUUAUAUCUAUCGCAGGUCAUCUGAUUUUGGCCCUUCAUGCAUAGCCAUCAGUUUGAUAACUCCCAUCCUUACUUGUUAGAUCCCAAACAGAAAUUUGUCCUCCAAGCGAUAAUGUUUUUUCGUAGCAAUUCAUCUACUUUAAAUAAUAUCCUCCCUACUGCUAAAAAUUGACACUAAUAAGCUUGAUAAUUACCAUUCUUUACAGACACAGCUCUAGCAGAAAUGGCAUUGCAUAGGCCACUCUGAAAGGAACGCACACAUGAAUUUUAUACACUAGGUCCAAGAAAUCACAUCAAUUUUGCAACUAUGCAUAUGCACAUAUAGUUCCAAGAAUUGCUGGUGUCUAUAGAAUUGCACAAUGACUGCACAAUGCUAUCUUCUUAAUUCUAAGAACAACUUAUUGAAUUCUCACAGGCCGGUCUUCUCAGAUAAGAAUCCUCAAACUGUAUGUGAAAUCACUACCAAAUCGUCUUAUGUUCUACUUGAAAUAAUUACUUCCGGUCCUUUCUCAUACAUAUAUGUCUGUACAGGAAGGUUUAAAACUCUUAGGGUCAUGCAUAAUUUAUCAACACUCUCACGAUUCUUCCAGGUUUUAUUUCUGCAGGUGUUAAUUUUGUUGAUGUAGGUAUUCUACCCAUCUUACUAUUCUCCAUCUGUGUUGACAUUAAUCUUGUUCUUCGGAUACAUUUUUUUUCUUCCCUUUUUCAUAGUUUUAGUAACGUUUGAAGCAUCAUUUUGAUUUGUGUUCUAAAAUCUGUAUGUUGCAGUUUAAGGCACCACUGGUUGUGGUGGGGAUGCAACCUGCACCUGAUGGACAACCAACAGGUACAUUUCUUCUAUUUUCUUAUUAAUUUGUCCUCACGAAUGGCCCCCUGAAUAAAUUAUUUUUGUCGAGCCACCUAUGUAGAAUCUUUUUAAUUGGUGACUGGUGAUUCAAAUUUCUCUCAUAUUGAUGUUAUUAUGAUUUUUGAAAACAAAAAUAUUUACUGGCAUCUAUUUGCUACCAAGUUUGAUGAUUACUUGAACCAUAAAUGAUUAUUGUGUUAUCGUAGAUGUCCUGUGAGGCAAAAUGAACCAUAAAUGAUGAAUGUUGUCUGGAGCUAUCCUACCAACGUAUUGACUGGCUUACAAGAUUGAUUUUGAUCAAUGUCGUGUUUAAUAAAAUUUAUUCAGAUGCAUCUUUUCAUUCCAAUCUCUUUUCUAUGGCCAAACUAAUUCAAAAGCUUAUGGUGGGGUUAACUAGAUAUUAUGAUUCUUAGACCAAUCUGCCUGUUUCGUAAAAAAAAUUAGGUUUCUACUUAGUAUAGAUAAUCAUAUAGGAUGAUAAGCAUGUUGCAAUGCAGAUGUAUUCAUAUUAUUCAAUUAUCUGGUGUCUACUUUGCUCAAGCUUUCUAUUGAAUUUUCUAACUAUCUGUUGUGGAAAUAUUGUAAAUAUUAAGGCAUAACAAAAUUGUCCAACAUUAUCAGGAAAUUGUGUCCUACUACAUAUGUCCUUACACUGUACUUUGCAAUAGUUAUAGGUAUGUAUGACUACCAAUUUGUGCUUUGCAGUAUUUUUAGCUAUAUUUUCCCUCUGCAAUUAGAUCUUAUACGAACAAGCUUUUCAACAAGGACCAUAGGAAUCAGAGAUAAAGAUUCCAAGCUGGUUAUAUAACCCUUAAAUAUUUUAGUUAUCCAUGUCAAGUCUCUAAAUCUUUUUUCGCUUCUUUGCAUAUUGAUGUCAUGUGUUGUUGAUGCUAUGUUGAUGUCUUUAAUUGCAGUUCUAGGUGCUCAUUUAUUAUCUCCAUACUCAUCAGGUGCAGGGAGCUUCUCUUGCUUCAUUUGCUUCCAUCCUGAAGAUGUUUGACAAAAUACCACAGUUAACUAGCUCUGCCUCUACAGCAAGGUAACGUUCUUAGCUACAAAUUAUCAUUUUUAGGAUAUAAUAUGAUUUUUUUGGCAAGCUUUUAGUCCAGUGAUAUAAAUUCUACAUUUUCAAGGAUGCAAAAGGAUGAUCAUCCAUUUCCUGGGUUUUUUUUUACCUUGGUGCCUUCCUCCAACCAUGCCGCCCUCUCCGUCUGCGUCUCCUUGGCAGCGGCAGGCCAUGAGACAAGGAGGAAGCGAUGCAGCUUGACGAUGGGGCCUCUCCGCGCUGGCCCCUUCCUCAUCUCUCUCAGCACCAUCAUGUUCUCACUGUUGAGCAGAAAUGGGGAAUUGAGUACUGCUAGAAAGUUGAGCUGCCUACUAGGUACACAUUUGAUUGAUUGGUGCCUUCUUUGCUAGAUUACUUUUAUCAAGCUAAGGUUUGUGUGCUGAUUAGGGUGCAAUAACUAAAGCAUGAAAAGCAAAGCCUGGGCAGGAGAGGAGGAUUAAGAGCAAUCAAGUAUGUUUUCUUUUCUUCUUCAGGGGAUAUUCAGUAAUCAAUUGUUUAAAAAACUUACAUCUAUUUUUCUUACCUGUAACUGGCAUGGAGUGUUGCUAUUUGUUUUGGUUCGAGGCUGUGUAUUUAUCUAAGGGUAUAACGUGGAUUUUCUUUUCCAUUAGAUGCCAUGAGAGAACACUAUGCUAGAAAAUGAUUUUUUCCCAUUUGAUGAAAUAUAGUCUGAUUAAUGUGUCACUGAUACAUGGAGUACAUCAGAAUGUGUCCAAUUUAAACACUGAAGAACAAGACCAUUAAUAACUGUUCUUACAGUGGUUGUUUCAUGUUUUCUUUUGAUUCCAUACCCGUGGUAUUUUUUUAUCAGUGCACUCAAGCAUGUUAGUUUAAGAGAAUAACUUGUAGGAGAAUCCAUAAGGACUUGUUGAAACCUAUCACUUUGUGUUUAUUUCGAGUGAAUCUUUAGCAUCCCAUCUAUUUCUUGACCUACAUCUUAUAUAUGUUUGCUAUCAGAUCUGGGUCUUGCAAUCAAAACUGUUGAAUAACUUGUGGGAUAUUCAGUUUAACUUCAUUUGUGUCAAUAUUUUCUUUGUGAUAGGGCCUCACAGGCAAAGAAAUAGGAUAGAUGGGGGUGGCCUAUAUUCGUACUUGAUCCACAUGAUUAUUGUCCUGCUGAAUCCAAUGUAAAGGUUGUUCAAAUCGCUGUUAGAGCUUGCUAGAAAUGAAUACGAUGUAAAGGUGAUUAACUGUCAUAUAUUGUUUGGGAAUUGGUCACAUGAUUAUUCUUUUGCAAGUUGAGAUAAAGAGCAUCUAAGCGUACUUAUGCUUAUAUUAUUACUCAUUGCAAAGUCAUUUUUUGUUUCACAUUGGGGGCAUUUCGCAUGUGUUUGAGUUUGUAGAAGUAAAUAUUUCACAUGAUAAUAUUUGAUGCUUAUAGAUGAAAUUUGUUUUGCCUGUAGCAACGUAUAGACACGAUCCUAGUCAAUUAUCAAAAUGCGGUAUUUGCUCCAAAAGACAUUUGGACAAUUAUUUCAAGAUUCCUUUAUGAUAAGCCAGAGUAGGUGGACUCGUAGAUUUCAUGUUGUACCAUUAUUUUAGGAUUGGUGUAUCUUUUUAUCUCCCAAAUUAAUGGUCGAUCCUAUGUUCUAAAUAUCUCAUUUAUGUAAGAUUUAAUAUAUGCGCUAGAUUAUGUCAAUAGGUUCUUAGGAAUCGACAUUAUCGAUAUGAAUUGUAGUUUGUAUGUUGCGAUGAUUAGCUGUCACGAUGUGGACGAUCCUAGGUUCUAAGUAUCUCAUUUCUGUAAGAUUUAAUAUGUACCCUGAAUUUCAUAUGUAAUGUACUCUAAUUAAUAUUUGUGAUGAAUUUUUGUCUCUACUAUUUUAUAUAUAUACAUACAUACAUGUGACAAUAUUGUCGUAAUGAUUGAAAUAUUUUAUUAGAAUUAAGACAGUAUGCGCGAGAAAGAAAACUGCUGGAGGCGAACAGUUUCAGCUCCUGUCAAUUUGGCAACUUUAGUACCGGUUGGAAGCAUGCCCAGUACUAAAUGGAGGAAUUUAGCACCGGGCAAAGGUUGGAACCGAUACUAAAUGCCCCUAAUUUCAUAUCUCGCCAUUUAGCAACUUUAGUAUCGGUUGGGAGUCCUGCCCGGUACUAAAUGGAGGAAUUUAAUACCGUGCAAAGGCUACCACCGGUUCUAAAGCGUCCCACCUACAAAUACUUCAUCUUCUCUAAACACUUAGCAGUUUUCAAAAAUUAGCAGUUCCUCCCUCUGGUCGCACCGGCCUCGUCCUCGUUGCCCUCGCCCACCGUCGCUGCCUGUCCCCCAUAGCUGUCGCCAUCGCCAUCGCCCCGUCCCAGCUCCAUCGCCCCCAUCACCGUCGCCAUCGUCCCGUCCCCGACCACUGCCACCCAGUCCCUGGCCGCCAUCCCCAUCGUCACGCCUCUCCCUUCCCCACCUCCCACGUGAGCCACCGCCGCACCUCUCCCUCCCCCGCCUCCCCCGUGUGCCGCCGCUCCUCCACCGUGCGUCCUCCCCGGUUAGAUUUUCUUUUUUUGAUAACUUUGAUUUUGAUGCAUUAAAAUGAUUUUGCUACCUAUAUUGUAUUAAAAUGGCUAUGAUUUUGCUUGAAUUGGAUACUAAUUUGUAUUGGAUGUUAAGUAGUUAGUGAUACAAUUAUGGCAUAAGGCUAUAUCUCUUGGAGGACAUGUAGAUAUUCACGAGUAGCAUUGUGAUAGAAUUGCAGAUGGCUACGAAAUGAUGGUCUACAUUGAAAUAAAUGUAUAUGAUGUGCGUAUAUGACAAUGAAUUAUUGGUGGCAAAGUUGACUAAUUAAGAAAAAUAAUGAUAAAUUAUCUUAUCACAAUUUUAUUUGGACAGUUUGGGCUAACUAUGGCAAGUGGAAGUUUUUCUCGCCGUGGAAGUGGCCAUCGUGCUGGUGGCGGCCGUGGACAGUCAUUGGCUCGUCCUCGAGAAAUUCACUUCCCUAAUCACAUCAUUGACUUGCCAAAAGAUGAUCGAAGCAGAGGAACAAUUCCUAACAUAGUAAUAUUCUUUCCUUCUUGUAAUUGGUUUUUUUACUACACAUGAAUAAUUCCUAAAUUUACUUACAUACAAUUUAGCUUAUCGACAAUAUUAGAUGGCUGAAAGAUAUUAUCGAAACUCUAGGUGGUACUUCUCCUUUAGUGCAAUCCGAGAUAGUUAGUUCACGGAAUUUUAAGAGUAAAAAUCUCUUUUCAAGUACCCGUUCGAGAAACAUAGGCCAACCGGAUGAGAGUAUCAGGAUAGCUCAUCCCGAUGGUUUCAAUUGCCGCAUGGGAUCAAUUAGCACCAAGUAGGGUAACAUUUGAAAGGAUUGCCAUGGAGGCCUACCUACAACAGCGAUCAUGGGUACUUUGUGCUAGACUUGUCAAUUUUCGAAUAAAGGCCCUCGAGGAGGGAGAAACUUGAGAGGCUUUGUCAGCUGAAUCAAUAUGACAUGGUAUGGAACAUAUCUAAUCAUCCUUUUAUCUUUAACUAUGUUACAUCUUUUAAAUUUUAUCAUGUUAUUCUCUUCUUUUAGGAUGUCUUUGGUCAAACCUUAGUGGCAAUGAGCUUCAUGUGAUUCUGGCUCAAGUCUUAGAUAUGUUGAAUUAUAGUUAUACCGAUGGAAACCCGAUAUGCACCAAAGAUUUCAAGCUCCAGGCUCAUCUCACUUUUUACAGGCUAUUUCAGUUGGCGUCAUCUCCAUGGUUCGAGAUUUAUGGCAGUGCAUGUGACCGUCCUUGUGAUGUGUUAGAGAGUGCACUAAUUCAUGCUCUAGCUUAUAUUGAUGAAGUUCUAGACUUUAUGAUUGGAGACUUAAGCUAUGUGGCAUAUCUACGUAAGCAAAGUGAAUUAUUAAAUAUGUAGCAAGCAUGGAUUUACUCCUACCAUACACUUUUCUUAUGGAUUUGAACUUGUUAUCUCUAAGACCUAAAGUAUUGAUGUACGAACUAUUGAGUGUUAAUGAUUUGAAUGGUUGAUACUCGUGAUACUUGGAUUUGAAUGGGUUGAUAUAUUAACCUAAUAUUAUUAGUAAAAGCUCCACCAGAUACGAGUACGAAUUAAAACAAAAGGGUAAAAAAAGAAUAAACUUUAUUAGCGGUAAGUAAAACCAAUCGGUACUGAACUGUUGUCCGUAACAGUGCGACGUGGCCGGUGGCUCGCAGUUUAGUACCGGUUGAUGUUACCGACCGAUACUAAAUAGCGUAUUUAGACCAGUACUAAAUGGUGCUAACAAAGCGAUAAUGGUCAGGCGUCCGGUACUUACCGGGUACUUGAAGUAGAUCCUCCGGUAGUGUAAUAGGCAUCGAGGGGUCCAGCAGCUCGGAAUGAUCUAGAUAUUCCCUAGUUCACCAUAAAUACAACGAACUUUUGUAAAUCGACAAGCAUAUAUAGAUGCUAAUGUAAUACUGCUGCGCAACAAUAUACCCCCUGUUUAAAAUUAGAAGGCUUAAUUCGCCUGGUUAGGAAAAGCCUAUGAUAAAAGAUUAAUUCAUAAUUUAUAACACAAAUUGAUGUUAUUAUAUCCAAAUUAAAUAGAUACUUAUGAUUAAAGUUUUGUAUCACAUAAAUGAAAUUCUUGGUCACUUGAACUGACGGCAAAUAAAACGAUGAUUUGAAAACCAACGCAACUAGAGUAGUAUAUAUUAAGCAAAGCAUGUAGUAUAGAUCAACUCACUGUAAAAAGCAGAAUGCGUCGAAACUCUCGUAUCGUGGCACCGCGCUGCUCCUGAGCAUGCCUACCCUGCGGCAGGUGGAGUGGAGGACAUGGACGCCGCAGGGCACGAAGCUGCCGCCGUCACCGUCGUGGCCACCUUCGACCAAGAAGGUUGUGAUCAGCGCGUGCCGCUCGGCGCAGCCGCAGGGCAGGUACAUGUUGAUCCAGACGGCGCACAGCAUGCGGCCGGUAAGAUGGACGACCGACCCAGACCAUUCUUCGUAGUACGGCCACAGCCUGUCAACCUCCAUGGCCGGUGCAAGCAGCUUCCCCUCCUCCGGUGAGAACUCGUACGCAAACAGAUUAGCGCCACGGACGAAGUAGACCGUGUCAUCAUCGUCACCUCCGAAAUGGACCGCCCUGCCGGAGAUGGGUUUGUAAGGGGAUUUGCCAACAGUGGUGACAGGGGUCAAGGUGCCGGCGGCGCAGUCGGAGAAGAAAAUGGAGUCGAUAAGGGACAGCAGGAUGAAUCUGUCACGGAUCACAGCAUAGCCCUGGAGAUGGCAACCGCUCAAACGGGAGUUCACGAAAGGCUGGUACAAUAUAUCGACGCCGGCAGCCUCCUCCCAGGCAGCCUCACCGUCGUCCAGCCGGCGCACGACAAGGCGCAUGCCGCCGUCGCUGCUCCCGGUCUCGACGGACGGCGCCCAGAGCUUACCCCGCGCCGAGACGGUUACGUACGAGGUACGACCCGUGAGAAAACGGAAGGGGAGGCAGAGCGGACAGGCUCCUAGUGCCAAGGUCCACAGCGAAUCCUCUGACUGGAAACUGCAGCGCGGCGAGGGCGGGGGGCGAUCCGCAGCUGGAGAUGGCUCCGCCGACUCCGGGCGAGUGCGUGCACAAGACGUACAGCCGCCGGCCGUCGGGGGCCAGCGCGGCCGUGGCGUCGGAGACGAACAAGUUCUCCUCGUCGUCCGGGGACACGGCGAGUAACGGCUGGAGCGUGUCGUCGGUGCGGCCGAUGACCCGGCCGGAGGCGGCGACGCGGAAGCGGUGCAGGCGCAGGCGCAGGUUGUGGAAUGGCUCCGCGAUGGAGGUGCAGCCGACGAGGACCGACCAGAGGGGGCGGUCGUCGGCGUCGGCGUCGGACGGCACGCGGAUGUAGUCCCGGCCGGGAGCGAUACGCGGGAUCUGGGGACUGCAAUACUUACUCCAGCAGCAGACGCAUCGGAACAGGUCGCAGUUCUCCCGGUCCUCCGCAGCUGGGGAGCAAUCUGGGUUGGCCGUCGCCGCCAUGGAUCCGACUGUUGAGGCAGACGGGGUUUUCCGCACGGUGCCGGUGUCUUCGGGCAGGCAGAGUCUCGUCUCAGAUUGAUUGGAUGAUCGCAAUAGAUACGUACGUGACGGGUAUACAGAUAGGACCCUGAAGUUAUCACUAUGUCUAAGAAACUCCCCCAAACUUAAAAACCAGAAAUCUUACACCCUCCAAGUCUCAAAACCAGACAAAUUAGCCCCCUCGACCAUUUCAACCUGGUUUCUCACGUUGUUUUGCUGAUGUGGUAACAUGGGCCCACAUGUCGAUACCCACGUGACCAAUUUUUUUUGCCAUGUCACUUGUAUGGGCCCACUUCUCUCUCUCAAUCUCUCUCUGCUCCCGGAGCUUGCCGAAGCUCGUCGUUGUAGGCCAGAGCGAACAGCGAAGUCCUGAAGCCGUUCAAGCUCUUCUCUGCAGCUCGUCAAUAGCAACCGAGUAGACAGGUCAAAGAAGAAAAUGUAUCCAAUAAAACAUCUCAAGCCACCCAAGCAGAAAUUCAUCACAAAUGAAACAAGAAACCAGCCUCGAUUUGUGCCCGCAAAGCUCAGGGUGCUGGUUCCCUUUGCUUAUUUUUAGCACAUCACAUCGAAUGUUUAGAUACUAAUUAGGAGUAUUAAACGUAGACUAUUUACAAAACCCAUUACAUAAGUGGAGGCUAAAUGACGAGAUGAAUUUAUUAAGCCUAAUUAAUCCAUCAUAGCAANNNNNNNNNNNNNNNNNNNNNNNNNNNNNNNNNNNNNNNNNNNNNNNNNNNNNNNNNNNNNNNNNNNNNNNNNNNNNNNNNNNNNNNNNNNNNNNNNNNNUACGUUUUAAUACUCCUAAUUAGUGUCUAAACAUUUGAUGUGACGGGUGCUAAAAAUAAGCAAAAGUAACCAAACGGGACCUCAAUUUGGUGGUGAGCAGCACUGAUUUACGCUCAUAGAAAAGCUUACUGUAGCGCGCCUGACGUCGAGCCGCCCCGUGCUCCCAUCUUCUCCCUCCUCUCUCCCUCAUCCGUGUGACCUUGCCCCACCCCAACCGCUGCUGCUCCCCGCUGUUGAACUGGCGGAGCUCGCGAGCUGUGAGCAAGGGCUGGACACGAUGCGGAUCUCGGCUACAAUAGCGGCCAUGGAGGCUCUGUCACACGCUAGAGGGAGAGGGAGAAGAAAGGAACGCGGGGGAGGGAGAGGGAGUGGGGGGCGGCGGCGCUAGGGGAGGGAGGGGGAGGCAGGCGGCGUUUGGGGAGGAAGUGGGAGAUGGUGGCGCUGGAGAGAAAGAGAGAGCGGCGGGUGACAUGGCAUAAAAAACUAGUGAAAUGUGGGGCCAGCAUGCCACGUAUGUGACACGUCAGCAAAAUCGCAUGAGAAACCACUUUGAAAUAGUCAAGGGGGUCAGAAAUAUCCGAUCUUGAGAAUUGAAGGGCGUAAGAUUUCUAGUUUUUUAGUUCGGGGGCGUUUUCCAAGACUCGGUGAUUAGAUGAGGGGUAAAAUGGAAUUCUUCCAUACAUAUAUGAGUCGGAAAGAACUUCAGAAAAGUAGGCAAUUAUCCUUAUAUAUACGUUGAAACAAUCUAUAUGGAAGGAAGGCCCUUCCUAUUUAAAUAAUUAGGUAAAUAUUGUUGUGUUUAUACAAAUUUAUCGUAUAAAUUUUGAAACAAAACGUGGACAGGUAUUAGAGAGAAAUUUUGAAAACAAAAAUUCGUCGAAAAGUUGGAUAGAAAUUAGAUUAAAAUUUGGAAACAAAGUUUUGAAAACAAAAACUAGAGGAAAAUAAUUAAAUAAAAUAAACUAGAACUUUACUCUCAGUGAAGUUUCAUUCACAAGCUGGAAGAAACAAGAAAGGCAUUCCAGUGCUAAAAGUGAAGGAAUGACCUCAUACUUUCACUCCUAUUACAAUAUCUGCGCGAGCAACUUGGCACUUCUCUUCUUUGCCUCACGCUCGGCUGAUCUAAAAGUGAAGGAAUGAGAGGUAUUUAACGCUUAGUUGAAUUUACAGCUGUGGUAGUUAGCUAUAAAACAUGAACUGUAGCAGCUGAAAUGGUAUUGUUUGUCAACCAAUUUUCUUUGGGCCAUGUAGCUAAAACUAACAAGAGGAAACUUACCCAACGUCGUUGAAAGAGUUAUAGAUUGAAAAAUAUCGCUAAGACGCUAACUAUGACGAUGACAUAGGACCAGAUCCCAAAUGUUGAUGUCAUUUUCCAACUCGCUGAUUUUUGUGAUGGGGUUAAGGUGCAAUUCACAUGGAAUAGAUGACUGCGUAUUCCAAAUGCUGUAUUGCCUUACAGCUGAAAUUCAUCGGCCUUGGCAAAUUCGAAGAAACAAAUGACUAAAACGAUUAAAUGUUAUGUACGAGUAAUAUCCAAAGUAUUUAUCCAUACAUUGAGUAAGGAUCAAAUUAGAUGCUCUACUGAAAAUAUACAGGGACAACAAACUGAACAGCAGCAGACUAAUAGGUCCUCGUAGAGUGAACUUAGUUUUGUUGAGCUUGCAUUAGUGCUCCGCCUAUUAGCCGCUGAUUAUAUCCUCGUAGACCUCCCUGACCUUUGCAAAGAAAGCAUCCCUGCAAUGCGCAUCAGUUGUUUGAGCAUCUAACAUCUUUAACCAAGGAAAUCAGAAAAAAAUGUUGAUAAAAGCCUAAAAUGGGAAUGUCAAAUACAGCUAACUCAAAAGGUCUAUUGUUUAGCGAAACAACUUGGAAGUUGAUACUGAACUUUACUACAGGAUAGAGUAUGUUUGUUUGCCAUCUUAUCAGAUGGUUGGUAUGAUUAUUCUGGGAGCUGGAAAUGUUCAGGAUUUGCCUAUACAUAUUGCUUACUGGAGAAUCAUUACUUAAUUCAUUUGUUCUGUCGUGUGCAUAUUGCAGAAUUUUGUAGGCUGGAUAAGGUAGCUGCUGUACUGUCUCACUUACCUGUCAGACUUGAAUAGCAGGUUCCGGUACGCGAACCACUGCAUGAGAGAAGGAGGUCAAAAUGUGCAAUUCAGCAGAAAAACGGCAGCAGUAACAAAACUCUAGGCAAGUGAGAAAUCCUGCACACUUUAGGCCUCUAUACAAAACGUAAUCUGAAGUUUUUACUCAGACGCGGGUCUUACCCCACUGUAUCCAAUUCCAACAGCCUCCAUCAGGCCUGGAACCACGGGGAGCCUGUCAAUCGCCUGCAAGGUGGCACCAAAAGUUACCGUUAGUUAGUUUGGAUGAAUCGUGUAUAGUAUAGAAGAUUCAGAAACCUCCUUCGUCAGAAGCAUAAAGAAAGAGGUGACGGUUCAGUACCGAUACUACUCCACCGGCGCUCCACAUGCCGAGCGUGGCCGCGACGGCGAGCGUGGUCACCGCGUACUUGUCCUCGAUCCUGUCCCACUGCACGAGCAGCAAAGCCAGCAAAGAUACAUGUCAUCGUGCUGCAACUGCAAGUCUGCAACCAGCCUAUGCAGACCGCAGAGUGGAAACAGGACGUGCCAUGUCGCUCACGGCUCACGUACUCACCUCCUGUUUCAGGGCGUUGACGAACUCGGUGAACUCCUCGUUGGCAGCAUUCGGCGCCGCUGGCUCCCCCGCGGCCAUGGCCACCACGUUCCUCGCCAGCAGCUUGCCUGGAAAUCAACGAACAGGGCGUGUUUACCAAUGGCACUCAUGCACGCCAUGGAUGCCAUCGUGCCGUUGCACACUCACAGACGGAGACGGCGCGGGUCUGUCCCUGCGCCGCGAGGCCGAGGCCGGGCAGCGGCGGCAGCGCGGGCAGCCGGAGCCCGACGGAGCGCGCGGCGGCCUUGGCCUCGCCCUUGGCGACGGUCGGCGCGGCGGGGCUCGCCGCUCCCGUGGCAGCUGGGGCGGUCGGGGCCAUGGUGUCGCACGGCGGCGCGCAGUGAACUGGUCGGUGUCGUCACUAGGGCCGGGUGACGUCGCGGCGCGGUGCCGAGGCGUUAGGCGUGGGGGCACGUCGGCGGCUAAGGCUAAUAGCACGGGGCGCAGCAGCUGGGUGUCUCAGCCUCUGAGGCCGGCGGGAGGGCUCUCGGCGCGCCGCGGAUAAAGUGGGGCAGGCGCCGGACGGGCGCCACACGUUCCCGGGGAAAAUGAUAAGAUUGGGGUUGGGUUUUGCGUAUGGCCGUCGCCGCCGGGGGAUCGAUGUCCCCGUUUGCGGUGCAGGAACCCCUGCCGUCUGGGAUUAGCGAAGCUGAUGGAUCGGCCGGGGAUUAGUGGGGGAACUUUUUGUCGUGUGCCCGGCUGCCUGGCUUCCGGCACGUGUGGCCGUCUCCGUCCCGUUUCGUCGCCGUGCCCGGGUGCGGGUGACGCCCUCACCAAUCGCGCGGCUGCCGCGGGUAAGUCCCUUCUCUAGCGCUUAGUGGCUAACGUAACGGCUAUGCGUCUUUAGCUUUGAGCUUCUGGCAACUCCUCCGAUGCAGCUUUUGGAAAGUCAGAAGCUAAGAGCUGUGUUUGUAGGGAAAGCUAAAAAGAUUAGUUUGCUCUUCGUAACUUUUUAAAUUCAGAAAGCUGAAAACAUCUUCUAAAAAUUAGUAUUAACUUUUCUAAAAAAACCAACUCCUCAGGAAAGAUCAAAAACUGCGGCUCAGAGACCACGGCCGCGCGCGCAACGACUUCUCCGCCCGGCGCGAUCCGCGGUGGCAGCAGAUGCUCGAGUCGUGCCGCUGUUUUUUUCGCGCUACCGCCGGCGGCAACGGAUUAGGCGCAAGAUACGUGUGCUCUCCCUCGGCGAACAGAACAGGAACUACACGUACGACGAGUACUACAAGUUCUGGAGCAGGAACCUGGACCAGGAGCACUGCCUCGAGCUCUUCAGGACCUGUAGAAAUGGGAUCAUUUUGUUUUGUUCCUGUGGAACGUUCUGCAAAUAAGGUCGACUUUCUGCUCUGUUUGUUGCUGCAGAUCGAAAAGGAGUUUUGAAUACAAAAAUCACCCGAACUCGGACAAGAUCAUAUAGAAGUCAAAAGAAGUGUAGGAAUUCACAGAUGUUUACUACUAGUUUUGUUAUGUGGGUUACCACAUACACGUGUUUUUUCCAGAACCAAUUUCAGGAACACAAACCAUGAAAUUUACACUUCAGUUCAGCAACCUUUUUUUUUUAGGGACACUUCAGUUCAGCAACAGCUCCCCCAAGACACCUCCAAGUUUCACGACAUCUCCUGUCUUCUCGUCAUCGGAAAGUCCACACCGCCUGUCUGAGCCCACCCGCCCGAUCGGAAAGUCCACACCGCCAGCCACCCAGGAGCCAGCUCAGCUGAGCCCACCCGCCCGACCGGAAAGUCCACACCGCCAGCCACCCUAGGGACGAAGAUAUUAGGGGCAAGAUACAUGUGCUCUUGGAAGUUGGAAUUGCUCUAACUGAAACAAAGCACGUGGGCUGCGGGCGUGGGCCGCGGAUUUGUGCGGGGAAGCGAGAGACUGGGCUCUUAUUGGAGCGUUGUUGGGAGCCCCUUGUAUCUUUGUUGAGCCCAGACCCCAAAAAAAAACAGGCGGAGAAAAACACGAUUAGAGCCCGCCGGCCAGUAAAUAAGCCUGCCAUUCAUUCUUGGGCAGCUCUCGAGAGAAACUAGCCCACCACAGUCAGAUUAGACCGAUGAGCCAACUAAGUUGCUGAACUGAAGUGCCCCUCCAAAAAAAAAAAGGUUGCUGAACUGAAGUGUAAAUUUCAUGGUUUGUGUUCCUGAAACUGGUUCUGGAAAAAGUACAUGUAUCUGGUAACCGCACAUAACAAAACUAGUAGUAAACAUUUGUGAAUUCCUACACUUCUUUU